rnacentral:lncRNA from 1 species
CGCACGACGUUUUAACCGAAAUAACUUCUUGCGCAAUUCAUGCCUUUCUAUUUUUAUGACCAAAAAUUGUUUCUUUAUUUCCAUUUCAAAUUGUUCUCUGGAUUUUUUAUCAAUAUGAGGUGAUCGUAACACAGUAUAUAAGACUCAUGAUUUAGGCAAUCCAAUCUUCCGUGUGUAAGGCGGAAGCCCCAAAAAAUUGUUUUCCAAAAAUGGGUGAUCAAAAGAUCUAAUUACUAUGUGUAUCUUGGUGGUCGUUACUUUUGGUAGUCUUUCUUUUUGGUUGACUCCUCUUCUUGAUCUAUUGAUCAGAAGCAUCCAGUAGCACCACGCUAGUAGAAAGAGUUAAGCUACUAAGCUAAGCUACUAUUGGGGAACUCGGUUGAAGCAAUUUGCCGAUUCCGCCUAUCAAAGUUCUAUUCAUUUCCAAAGGAGAACCUCGUCCGAGAACUUGUAUAGAGAAGGAUUUCCCGUGGCGCAGCAGUUCUUCCAUACCAACUUGGUGACCCUUAUUUACUUGUUUAUAAGGUUCCUAGAGGUUGGUUGUUUAUAGGCCUUAUCCACACAAGUAAUGGAGAACAUACGAAAGCUUUGGAAUAUUAUUUUUGAGCACUAGAAAGAAACCCAUUCUUACCACAAGCUUUUAAUAAUAUGGCCGUCAUCUGUCAUUACGUGCGACUAUCUCUACUAUAGAAAGAAAAAAGAAAAUCUACUAAUAAAAUAAAUAGUAGAAAAACAAGGCUUUCUACAUGUCCAUCGUCUAAAACAAGGCGAGAAACUUCCUUACUCCAUUGAAUAAAGUACUUAAGAGGAAGAUCAAAUCUAUAGCACUGUCGGACUUGCUGCUGUGAGACACUACUCCUCAUAAGGAAAUGCCCUAGGUCGCUUCUUUCCUCUUAGAGUCACUUCCUUCCUCUUGCAGCCACUUCCUUUUAGAGUAGCCCCUAUUCCAAUAUACCUAUUUUGAGUAAGAAGCCUAUCUUUUAGGCAAAAAUAGAAAACAAUCAAGAUAGUAGCAAUCUGCUUGAAAGCCAUCAAGAUAAAAGGCAAAGGCAGAGGAGUUUGAAAACUCUUUUUCAGUCCCAAUUUCGCAUCGCCCGUCGGGUAUGGUCAUCGCGUGAAGGUCUUUGUUUUUAUGUGCUGCUAUGCGCUUUCUCGCUUGCCUAUCUCUGUGACUUUAGAUUUCUAUCUUUCUCUCAGUAAGCUUGCUUCAUUUUUCUAAUUGCUAAGCGUUAUACAGCUGGAGCGGUGCCUUUAUAGGAGUCUGAACAUCAAUUUCUUAUCUUUAAAGAUGCUAUUUUGGAUUAGAUCUUCAAGUAGACCAUAAAGAGGAUUGGUUAAGCGAGGAUAGAGGGAAAUUUGAUAGCGCCUUUACCAGAUAAAGAAGGCAGUUCUCUGGGAUUCUUUCUAAAGGAAGUCUCACAUUGUAGUCUUUUUUAUAAAAAAAGGUCUCUGCAUAACGGAAUAGAAAAGCAAAAGAUUGCAGUUUUCAAUUUCACAGCUUUACAUUUGCAUUAAAUGCCAGCUAUGAGCCGGGUUAUAAUAGAAUUGGCCAAAAGAUCGAUUUCAUCCUUCUAACCAACCUCUUCUCCCUUUUGAACUAAUAAGGCAAGCAGCCUUUUGUGGAUUUAUUAAUCCAGAAGAAGAGUCAGCUACUCAAUUGGAUAGACUCACUAUCUAUUGAAUUCUCUCUCUAUCGUCGUUUGCCUCUGUUUCCACAGAAGAAAGAGAAUCUGGAUCUAGUACCAUCUUUGAUUCUGACUUGAAGUUCAUCGCCCACCUGCCCACCUUCCCGUGCUAAAAACGACUGUCAGAAUCAGUCACCAUGACCAAGCAAGCAUAAAAGUCCUGAACCUAUAGUCCGCCCUUGACUUCAAUUAGAACAAUGACUAGUAACUGGAGGACUGUGACAAUGUCUUCCUACUAUCUGUGAUACACUGAAUUUUAGGAUAUUAAGGGUUAUUUAUUUUAUUUUUGUUUUAAAAGAUUGUUUUGUUUUAAAGACUAGAAACCUUAAAUUUUAAUCAAAACCCUAGUUUUACUUGGGACUAAAAGGUUGUUAUUUAAUUGAGUUUAUGUAUGACAAUGCAUGUUUUAUGAUAGGUAAUUAUAAUGGUUGGGUGGUUAGUAGACUAUGAGGUGUAAUUAAGCUUGGUGGAUUACAUUAAGUUGGUGAUCUAUGGAGUUAAUUGCAAAGAUUAGAAGUUGUUGGGGCUAUAGUGUGAGGAUUAGCAAAGUAAGUUUACUAGUAAUCUUAAAGCUUCUAGGAUCUUCCCAAGCUCAAUUUUGAUUGACGGAGAAAAAGUGUACUUUGACUUUGGCUUAAGUUGUUAGUAAAUCAAAGAAAAACAAAGCCAAAAUCUAAGAAGGAAAAAGAGAGAGAGGGCUAAGAGCUUCAAGGGAGGAACAAGAGAGAGUUUCAACUUUGGGUUCUUGAUUUCUUGCUCAAUCUUGCAAACUAACCGAUAGAUUCACCAAAUAAUCCAUAGAAGUUGCUUAGGAAGGUGGAUUGCUAUCUUGGAGUGGAGUGUUUUGGUGGUUCAAGCUUCCUAGGGGUUGUUGUGCUUCUCCAAGUCAAGGUAAAGUUGGUAUUAGUUCAUGGUUGUGUUAUUUAUUGGUUUACAAGUGAAAGUUAUGGCUUGUUUAGGUAAAUUUCAUGAUUUUAGUGGUGGUUAUAGUAAAUUCCAGUUUUAUAGUGUAAUUUUCAGAUUUGGUUGUUGGAAUGGAUGGUUGUUCUUGGUGUUCAUGUUGUAGUAAUGCUUAUACUUAGUUUAUAGAAGUGAAUUCAUGAUUAAAAAUUAUUAGUUUUGUGGCAUAUAAAAUUCGGCCAGCAAGAAGGGUUUGAAUUAGGGUUUUGGUUGAUAAAUUUAUAUGUAAUCUUGUGUAUAUGAUAUAGUUGUAGCUUGUGUUGCGAAAUUGUUGCAAAUUUGGUGACAUUCCACUUGUAGCGGAAAGUUUAGCUCUUAUUCAGAAAAUUCCAGCCUUGAGUUAGGGAUUUGAGUCAAUUAUUGAGUGGUUAGCUUAGCUAAGUAGGUAUACAAAAUGUUACAACUGGAAUGAAUGCUAAAUUGACGUAUGUUCGAUUGCCGCGGAAGUUUUCCGCUUUGGUUUGGUAAUUUCAGCAUUUUGCAUGGGUUGUGAUUGAAGAACUUAGCUUGGUAUUGCUUUAAUGGUAGCUUCGAUAUUGGUUUAUGAUGUGUUUUCUUGAUUUGAUGUAUUUGGUGUGUUGAUUAGUACAAGUUAGUCAUGAGUGAGAAACCAGAAAAUAAAACAGGGUUUGUCAAACUUAUAACUUUGGCUUCAUUUUUUACUUUGAUCCGUAUCAAAUCAGUAGUUGGCCAAAACACAAACAUUUUAGUUCUAUGUUUCAGCUUUCCAACGCAUCUAAAAAUGCCCCAAUCCGAAUUUUGUAGCCUAAGUUAUUGCCAUUUGAAUCUAGUUCUAACAAACAGGCUGACAAUGAAAUUUUGAUUCUGUAAUCUGCAAUUUCAACCUACAUCAACUGAAAACUGGGUUGGCUUGUUUUCAUGAAAGUUGUAACCCUUUGUUUUAGUUUCGAAAUGCUACCUAGUACACCUUGAUCCAAUAACCACAACUCCAGUUAUGGUCGAAACCGUGCAAUCUGUUUUCAUACCGAUUUCCAUCGCGUGCACCAUUUUCAUUUCCAUGCCCGCACACAUGCAUUUCUUUGCCCUUUUUGCCAUUUUGGCCGUUUUAGUCCUUAUUUCCUUAUGAUGGUUGUUUGACUAAUAGUUGAGUAUAAUCUUCUAUCAUAGGUAGUAACGACUCGGACGGAGUCGGUGGACCCGUAUAAAUUGUCUUGAUUUGCAUGCUAACUAUUUUGGGUGAGUAAUUGGAUUUGUUUAUAUAAUAAAUUGUCAAAAUGCUUUGUAUAUGUUAAAUGAAUACUUAGGCGAGGGUGUACUUUAUCUCACUCGACCUAAGGUCAUUCUCUGUUCUUGAUUUAAUAUGUGAGGAUACAUGCCUUGUGUUGAAGUGAACCCCUUGUGCUGUAUGUUGUUGGGGUGAUUACAUGACUUGAGUAUUUUGUUGAGUACUUUGUUGAGAGAUUGGAUAUCUCAGGGCUUGGUUCCAACCCAGUUCCAAAGGUAGGCAGACUAUUCGAGCCGGUCAGGUUUUGGUCGAAGUCAGUUCUAUGCUAACUUUGGGAUUUUAUUCUUUGUUAAAGCAAAGUGAUUUUGCUUUUGCUUGAGCUGCUGUGCACUGAUGACUGGCUAGCGGGGGUUGAUAAGGUGAAUGGGGAAAGUAAGUGGAAUCUACGAACCAUGAUUAUUUUGGUUGACGGAGUGUUAACAGGUGGUCAAGCUCCGGGAAUUGGACUGGCUUUGAAGCCACUUGUAUCCUACUAUUGUGAUGUUACAUUUCUGUUUAUUGAUGUGAAAUAUCUUGGUUUACAUGUUUAUUUGGAUGUGAUUUUAUGUUUUUACCCCGAUUACUUACUAAGCAUAUAACUUAACCCAUUCUAUUUGUUUUCCUUAGCAGGGGCCGAUGCGGGGAUCGCUCGGGAAGGUGUAUAGUAUAGGUGACUUUUGGUUUAUAGAAUCGUUGAUUUGUGCCCUAGUACUUGUUAUAAGUUGAUUAGUAAGAUGUAUAUAAAUGUUGUGGCGGUUAUAGUUAGUAGCUUCUUUAGGAUUUACUUUCUUGUACUAGUGGUGUGUAUGGCUUGAUGUAGUAGUUUUAUACAAUUUUUGAAGAUGUAAUAGUGUAAAUAGAACUCUCUUUUAGCAUGAAAUCUAUUUUCUCAUUUUUAGGUAUCGAGUCUUGGCGCGAGCUAGGCAGACGAUCCAUUAAACCCUUUGGUACGCCUCUGGGUACAGUGGGGUCGUCACACUAUCAAAGAGGUAAAGUUACGCGACUUCAGUAACCGAGGGGGAGAAAAAAGGCCUAAGCUGACUCUUUUUUUUUAUCGAGAUCAGCUUUGCUGCCUUGAUCAAGCGCAGCCCGAGAGAGAGACGAAAAAGUUCACUAAUGACGAUAGCAAGGCUCGAGCCAAUAGUCUUCCCUUUUCUACAAGGCUUCUUUUUCCUUUCCUGCUAAGGAAUCCUAUGCUCACUAAUUUAGAUAUCCACAUUUGUAUCAACUUGCCAGAUUAUUGACUUUGCUUAAAGAAUGAGAUAUCAAUCCAACUCAGAGAUAGGCACCUUAAGGAGCGGGGCAGCAGUCCACGAAAGUCAUUUGACUUCCUUCUUUUAUUUGAAUUAGAUACCUUCCAUUGGUCGCAUCCGGUCAAUCAAUAAAAGAGAAGAGAAUAAGAGCAGAUAUGGGCCUCCCUGAAGGUCCUCAAGCUUGUGGCAAUAAGUUGAGUGAGCUACCUACAUGUUAGGGCCACUUACUAAUUUAUUGAAUUUUAGCCUUCUCUAAAGGAGAAAGUUCAAAUAUGGUAAUAAAGAAACCAAUACACUGAGAAGGGCUUCACACGGCUACUGUUAGCAUAUAAAGAGUAUACAUCACAUGUAUUCUCAUGCUAAUUCUAAUUUCGGAAGGGUUGUCAGGUGCUGUUCUUUCCCUCUGUCUUACAUGUUACUUAAGACUGGAGGUAAUGGUAAACUAUAUGGUCUGUGGCCACAGGAUCCUAUUUAAGUGGUGCCUAGAAAGAUUAAUGUAUUCGCAAUGGUCUUCCAAGGAUCCUAAUUUACUUGAAUCGCAUGAGUGAUUGGUCAUCUGGGCUAUUAUUGGACUAGGAGAUGCCACGCAAGGUGCAGGAACUACGAUUCUUCGUCAGAUUAGUCAUACUUAUAAAUCUUUAUUUAUAUAUAAUAAUCUAUAUAGGACUAUGGGCAGUUCAUCGAGGGCUUCUCGGGUCGGGUGAUCGGAAGCUUAAGCUGCUUUUGCCUUACCUUCUGGGCGAAUGAGGGGCGUGUGCAAUAGUUUUCUUUCUUUCUCUUGCUUGAUCACUUCAUCCUAUAAUUUGAGAGAUAACAGGCUCUUGAAUUCGAGGAUGUGACACAAAUAAUGACUCUCUUUGUGGGGAUGUCCGUAGAUUAGGCAGCUGUAAGGUUUUUUUAUAUUCGGUAGAAGGCAGGCUGAAACUCUGCCCCAACCAAGUGAAACUAAGGGUCUGAAAGAGUUCACGAUCUGAUCUAUGGAGUGUUAACCCUACCCCCGGAGGACUACGCUACAAUUUUUCUUCUCUUAUUCCAUUUCUAACCAAAAGAAACUUACUAUAUAAUAUAGAGCAACCCAUUUUCAAGUCUUGGAGGAAGCACAUGGCAUGGACAGCAUGGUAAGUAGGACAGCCAAUCCUUAAGAAAGCUAUCUCACCAGGUAAAACAGGGUAGCGAAACUAGGAACGGAGUAUUGGCUUGUUAGAGCUAGGCUGAUGAGUUAAAGUAAGCGAGCUAGUCAUACGAGCUAGUGAGCUAGGCAGCUUGCUGUAGUUGCUACGGUAAACUGGAGUGAAAGGGCAGUAGAGAUGGAGGACUAAAGAUUCCUCAGAGGUGAAGACAACCAGAGGAUAUAUUCCCAGAUUCUUUCGUUCCAGGGAUUGGGAUCUGAGUCAAAGACAUCAAUCAAAGAAAUUUUGUAUAGUUAUGUCAGAAAAUGCAUUCCUUUCUCUUCCUAGAAAGCUUUCAAAUUCAUUCCUCUGGCUUUGCUUCUUUUCAGUUCCUUGGUCAUGAGACCUUUUUUCGCCUUGUAGCUCGCUAUCUUAUUUGCAGCAACCUUCUCAAUGCUGAGAGUAUUCGAGCACUAGAUAUGGACUACAUUUUGAACACCGAGUAGGAUCAAAGAAACUAGCGGACUGAUCACUAAAUAGAUAGAAAUAGGAGCAAAUUCUGACAUCACCACAGCCCACUUGGUUCUCUCGCUCCUUGCUCUCGGAGCAGCAUACCGAAAAAAAAAGAAAUAGGAUUUCUACUUUACAAAAUAUUUCUAGCUGAUACGGGAUCAGUAACAGAAUGUAAAAUGUCUAAGACUUGAUGAAAAUAGUCACUACCAUAGCCAUACAUGGUCAGGUCUUUCAAAAUCUCACACAAACACACGAGAUCCCACGUUGGUUCCCCAAUUAUAUCCCUCACCAAUUGACUAUAUAUCCAAGUUUCUGGACAAGAAAAAUUAUAAUCAGUCAUUAAUUUCUCGAUGCUUUUCGAAAUAGCAUCGAGAAAUUUAUUGGACGCAAAAGAAGAAAGUGUGAUGGGCGGAUUUUCUGGUUGACCUAUAUUUAGACCUACAGGAUCACUUAAAUUAUUAACACCAAUAAGCAGAUUUACCAAAUUAUCCAGAACGAUAUGUUGUUCUUGUUCCGAAAUACCAGCGGAUAAUCUUUGAAUUGUAUCCAUAAGAAUGAGUUUAUUGUCCAUGUUGGAACAUAAGUCUCAGUUGUCUGUAAACCCCCCCUUCACCCCUACCCCCUACACUAAAGUAGUAGAGAAGGGCUCUUUGGGGUCUAAUUUUCUUUCUAUCUGACAGGACAGAAGGGAUGGUUCUUUCAUUGUAUUGAUAGAAGUCUAAGAUCUAUCUAUUACUUUGAGAAAAGAAUCGUUGGUUUGCCCGACGAAUUACGUGGGAAAUAUGAGUUGAGAGGGCAAGAGGAUUCGAUCUCCACAAAAGGCUAAAGAAACAUAAAAAAAGUUAAUCAUCUUUCUUUUAUACGCAAUUUCAAAAAAAAUACAUAUAGAGAGGUGCAAAGGACAGAUAUGCCAAUUUGGGAUAAGAAGAUAAAUAUUUCCUCUAUCAAUGAAUUUGAAAUAAGCUAAUAAGCUAUUUCUCGAUUCGCCGCAUUUCUAUCUCUGACUAUCAAAAAGAAGACAAGCUUUCCAUUUAGGGUGUUCACUUACUCGAUUCAAGAGCGACUACCAGACAAAGAAGAAGAUUUAAUCUUUCUAUCCGAUAUGAAUACAUUGAAUUCGAGAUGCAAAUGAAUUGAAUAGGAAUUAACCCACGGAGUGGUGGACAAAUUCAUAGCUGCCGCUUUCAUACAGCUACUUGUGUUAUUUUCGAAUCAAGAUUUAGACUAGUUAUAGUAGGGAUAAUCUUACCAGUGCUAACGGCCACCAGAAUAGCUACAAGCAAAACCAAACCCAUUUUUAAUACGAAACUAAUUGAUCUAUACCAUACAUACUGAGUAAUUCAAGUUCUCUUUCUUAGACCGACAACUCGUAUCUCGAAGACACAAGACAAGUCCCGAUCCUCUUACGUUGAAGUGUGGUGAGGUUUUGCCUCACAGAAACAGAAGGAGUGGGAAAUUGGGGAAAAAGCUGAAACGGAUUCGACCAGUACAAUACUGAGUCUUAUUGAGGCCAUGAAGACGGACAGCACUUGGUUUACAGCUGACCAACGAAAAAAGACUCCAAUUCUUUCUGUUGGUCAACAACCAACCAGUGAUUUCAAUAGCAGUUUAUUCGUUCCCUCAAUCCUCUGAUGUAAACCUAAGACUAGUGAAAGAAAAUAAGUUACUUGUUCCCCUCUCUUUCUUCAUUCAAUAUCUGUCUAGCCUACUAACGACAUCCUUUUUUAUCUACGCUAUUUACCCUUCAUUACUUCCCCAACUUUGAUUUAAGUUCCUUGAUCUUUUCUCCUAGUGGUACCAUCUCUACUUUUUCUCCUUUCCAUCUACUAAGUUUGCGGAAAAGAGAGAGCAGACGGUUCUCGGCAUCAUGAUGCAAGAAUGACAUCUGAGAUCGCUUAUUCCAUUGCUUUACAGUCAUGAUAUGAUAGAAAUGAUUCUAUUUAUUAGAGAGAGACAACACCUAUUUUUAGCAUCGAAGAGGGAAUUUUGUGUAGACUGCUUUUUGAAAGUGAAAUAGAGACUUUCACUAAAGAGUGAGAUUGAGGAGUGAAAGAAUCCAGUAUUCACAUAAGAAAGUGGUAGUAGUCCUUUCCUAUAUAAGAGAAAGGCUGUUCUUACCUGGGGACGUCUGCCUAAGAACCGGCUUUUGAGAGGUCUUUCUUUGCCUCUUUUCUGGACGGCUUACUGCUCCGUAGGCAUCUUAUGAGUUAUUUUUAGUCUAGUUUGUUUUGCCCAAAUUAAAGAGUUCUUUUUCUUAUUACAGGUGUAACCAGAACCACCGAUUAAACAAGCAUUCCCGAGUUCAUUAGAAGUUAACUCCUUCGCCCGGACCUUUAAAAGUGGGAUGCUAUAUAAAAGAAAUACCACAAAACUGAGCAAUAAGUCUAUCCGAUCGUGUUGACGCCAACGACCUUCUUAGGAGCUUCUCCCCACCGAAGAAACAAGAGUUGAGUUCGGGAGUUCGAGUCUUUCCUUUUCUUAGGAGUUCCAGAUGAAGGAAGUAUGGUAAUUUUCAAUUAAUCUUCCCUUCAAUCAAGACGACCAGUUGGAGAGGAAUAAGCGGUUUGUAGGCUUCCCGCUCCCAUAGAUCUUCCUUUCUCUUCUUAAUGACCUAAUGCAAUUGACCGUACUGACGGGAAUGACGGUCACUGGCAGCACCAAAGCGAGCACCAAUGGAAAUGAAGAAUUUGAAUAGCUUUUCGUUCCUUUUUUGGGGUUAAACUCAUAAGACAAAAGAACUCCAUAUGAACUCGGAGGGAGAAAUUCAUUCUUUUAAGACGCAAAGAUGGGUGUCACCAAUCUCUUAUCGGAUUUCACCAACCUUAAAGAAUUGAGUUUGAUUUACGUAAGUACAUAUAAAGCACUAAAGAAGCUCCUUCUCCUCCUCUUGUUGUUGUUUUGACUUUGUCUUAUUAGACAAGUGGUAACCUAAGCAAGAGAGAUUGUACUUUAAUUCCUCUACUGGCUUUCAACCCUUGGACGGCUAUCCUUGGCAUGCGUGCUACUGGCCUACCUACUGAACUCCUACUAUCCUGCUACCAAGCAUUCUCUCUUUACUCGCCUAAGGAUGCACUAAGAAAGAUUGCUACAAUGACAAAAGGAAAGAGAAUACACAACGAAGGCAGAAGCAAGAAUCGAAUUCACACUAACCCGUCAAUUUGGGUUCCAAUUCGAGAUUUUUCUUGGGAGGUAUCGUGAAAGAAUUGGAAAAGACUGCCAUCUUUGUGGGCCGCCUAUUGAUCGAACGCAAAUCCACAGGAUUACGGGAUGACAGUUAUUGGUUGAGGUCAAGUAAAUAUGAUUACAUACCUUCUGUUUGACCUUUCUUGGUCUGGUGUGACUAUUCCUCAUUCUUGUCUUAUGAAAAAGCCAGAAUCAAUCAUUCGCGAUGAGUAUAAAAAAAGUCUUUUUUAGUGAUGCUUGAAAGACGGCUUCGAGAAAGGGCUUUUUUCAGUAAAGUUCAGCCUUUCCGCUAUCAAAACAAUUCACUCCAGAUGGGUGCUGAAUACGCUUUCACGAUAGGUAGUGGUGGAGCUUGCGUAAUGUAAUUGUAAUUAAGGCUGCAAUUCAGUCUUUCUUUUUCUUCCUGCAAAGCGAAAAAUUCUCAGAUUCUUACUCUUUCUCCUUUGGAUCGGAUUCAGCUCCAGACCUUGGUACGUUGAGGUUAAGAUUUUCCUGGGUUUCCUCUUGAAUUGAAACGGCGCAGCUCCCAUAUUACAUCGUACUCACUGACACUACACUCACCAACAGGGGAGACUCCUACCGUUCGUCAAUCUACUACCAAACUGAGAUACAGAAACACUUCGCUAAAGAUUCACCUGGGACUGAGAUACGUACAUGGGUAGGAGUUCACUAACCACUGUUUGCAUGAGUAAUAAACAAGAAUUUCGAAAUCAAUUACAGUUGGCCUUAUUCCCUGCCUUGACAUUGACCGCUAUACCUAACAAGGCAAGGCAAGGGGGAACGGUAAAUAAGUAGGAUAGAUAGUUACUCGACUCUGGCCUUGAAACAAUGACCUGGCAGAAGUACUCAAAGGUGAUAGACGUCCUACACGCCUAAUGUCAAGUUAAAGUGUUUGGUUUGAUAGAACCAAGUAGUAGUUAGUCGGAAAAGAAGAGAAAGAGACUCCAACAGACUCAGGCAAUACCAUUAAGACAGAAAGGGAGAACCGACCAGGGUUGGAAGAUUGCCCCACCACUUCAGUUCUCAUAGAAGGAGAAGCUGUGAGCUAAUAAGAAGAAGGCUCGCAAAUCUUUAUCCCUUGCUCUAAAAUGCCUUCCCCCGAGAAUGAAAUUGGAGAGGGAAGGCCCCGCUCCCCGAAUAGACGGAUUUCAUGAUGGCCCGGGUGGGAAAUUUCCAAUUUAGAUGGAUCUUCUUCUUUAUGGAUAGAGGUUAGCUUUGCUAGUUGUAACCGAUGCCACAAAGGUUUAAAACGAAGAUUCAUUGAUGCCUUUACGUGAGUCAGUCUGGCGAUUUCCUUUCUUCCUUUAAACUAGCCUAUCAUAUGAGGUGGAUCAAAUGGUUCCUUUCUAACUUCCUAUGUUAAGAGGUUCCUUUAAAGUAGAAACUUGGUGUUGACCCAUUCACCUCCUGAACUUACCGUCUAGCCGGAGUAAACUACCUAUGCUCCUACUGCACGUAGGCUGCUAAACUUGCGCAACAAAAGCUGAUAUUCAAGUUAAUUAUAAAAUGUGGUUAGAUAUCAAAUCGAUAUUAGUUUUUAUUAGAAUUAUAUAAGAGAGAGAUGUAGGCUUAGUCAAAAGUGUAAAGCCAAACUCUAUCUCUAAAAGCGUACUCAAGCUUCGAUUGUUGUGUUUAGUCGCUCUUGUGAGAGAUAGGGCUAGUACGGACCCAAUGGUGCUUUCACGAAAGUACGGGCAAUGACGUCGGUCAACCAUUUCCUGAACGAUGAGCUUCUAAACGAACGACUGACUAUCGGGCAUAGGCAAGAUGGUCACCUAAUGGCUUUUGUAAGCUCGCAGUGAAGUUAGGCAGUAAGAGUAACAUUAAGUACGGUCUUAAGUCAGUUAGUUCCCCAAGCCAACAAUGAAAGGGUGGAGUGAGCCUAGCACCUGACCCUUCUAUUCCUUCGGUCUAAUCCCCCGCGACUUGCCAUUGAAAGGGAAUGCCAAUGAGGGAGUGACUCAGGGCUCAGUUAGCGCUUAGGGUUCUAGGCUAAAUUAAGAUGGUCUGUAAGUUCAUACUUCAAAGGGAGAAAAUACACCUCCAAUCAAGGUACAACCUUUAGGGAUAACAUGAAGCCAAAAGUAGGAUAGUCUAAGGAACUGUCUUGAAGUCAUUUGAGGCCUAAUAUAAUAGAUGCUCUUCCUGUAGUUGCUUUUCUAAUCUGUCUAUUCCUUUUGGCAAGGGUCCAUAUUUGGAAUCUUACCUAUUGCAUUGCUUCUUUCCUCUAAUUCAAUAGUACGAUCCCUGACCACCCAGUGUUCAAUUCCAAUUUAUGAUUACAUACCUCAUGAACCUAUAUAUUGUAGACAAGACACCCCUAUGGUAGGAAACGAAGAUUAGUUCAAGGUAAUCCACUGGCUUGCUCGAUUCCCUUUGUUUCUUCGGCUUUUGCCCCAUGCCGCAUAAGGUCUGGUCUAUCCUCUGUAUGUCAAUCUCACGUUUGUCUAUCAUGAAAGGGACCCUUUUCUCCUUGGAGAGGUAAGCUCUAUAUUCACAAUGAAGGGCGCCUACAAUGGUAGAAAGAUCAUCGUUUCCUUUCCUUUAAGCGUCUCAUCCCGAAUCUUGGUGUGGUAAAGUAAUCGAUAGACUCAUCUGGUCACUCCCCUAAAGAUUGCAAGUUCGAAUCCUAUCCGUACUUCAUGAAAACUACAUUUUUAAUAUGGCCGUCAUUUGUCAAGAUAUGGACUCCCCACUCUGAACACCAGCGGACUAUUACUGGUACCUGUUCACCGAUAAUGAAAAUAAGGAUGGGCAGGAAUAUGCGGAAUACAUCCCAACUAGACCUCUUAGAGCACCGGGGAUCACCAAAAUACGUUCCAGCAACGCCACCGUCUGAACUAUGAAGCUCCCCGAAGUACAUUCCAGCUGUUUGGCACAGGAAUCGGGACGUAUUCCAGAUAGUCCCAAUCGUAGCAAAUGUAAUGCGUAAAAGAGUAAGGGGGACCCAUAGUCUUACCAAAACAUGUCGGUUGACGACAUAAUGCCAUGCGCAUGGUGGAAGAAAGGCUAUGUCUCAAAGCUAAACCAUUGCAGCAAGGGAUUUUUCUUAGUAAGAGGUGCUCUUUCAUUCAGUAGCUGCAAAAAAAUCUUUUUUUUAUUAAAUAAAGUGGAAAAAAAAUUACAUCUCAAUGAGCUCAUAAGAAGUAGCUUCAACUGCCUUUCCAAUGGGUUACCCCCGGCUACUAGCAUCUCUUGAUUGAGGAAUAAAGACUAUGCCAACCCGAUCGUCAGCAUCAACAUCAAAGCCGAAAUUUGGGAUUGAAAGCACCUACUAUUCAAGUUUCAUCCAAGGGAAAUUCAAAUAACAAUAGAAUAGGCCUUCCACCUCGAAUCUAUCUCUUCGACCUGUAGUAGUUUGAAUCUUCAAUGGCUGUUCAUUGCAUGAACGAGCAAAGAGAGCAAAUAUGGUUCUUCAGUCGAGCUUAAUGCUACCACCGAAUAAUUCCUUCUUUCUUUGCCCUUCGGGAACAUCCUCACAUUCUAUAGUUAAGCUUACUAACUGCCGUAGCUUUUAGGUUCCAUGCAGUUUUGCUAGCUAGCCCCUAAAAAAUAGAUAUACUUUUAGAACUCCACGUGCUUUACCCCGGAAACUUUUGGACUUUAAUCGGCUUUGAGGAUAUACCUUUCAGUAGUGGCUCUAUCUGUAUUCAGCCAUUUAGAAAGAAAUAGAAAGAUAGCUUUCGUGCUCCAAUGGUGAAAGAGAAGGAUAAGAUAGAUCCGAAUAGUGACAGAUAUAGAAUUUUAUUCAAGUUAGCCCCCCUUGUUGCUCUGUUCUCUCUCUAUACCACGAUGAAUAAAAGAGAGUCCUAUACCUAGGAAACAACUAGUGCGCUAUCCUCCUCUAUCUUAGACUAUAUGCCUUCGCUUUGUACUUCUACUAACUCAAUUGGGAGUAAACCUGGAAGUACACCUUUGGUUAACUAAGGCUAAGAUCCCACUUGCCACUAAGCUUUAGGGAAGUCAACUUUAGAUAAUCCCAGGGCUAAUGUCCUUGAAUCGAAGAGCGAUACUCUUUUAAUUAUUUCUUACUUGGAAGUAACAAACAUGAGGCAAUGAAAAAGACUCUUGUAUUAAGAUUUCCAAGGUUUAGCCAAGGCUUAGCUCAGGACCCCACCUCUUCUUCGUUUUGCUUUUCUAUCCAAGGCUCUUUCGGAGCAGAAUGAAUUCCACUUUUCCAAGGCCUCUUUCCUACGAAGCCUUGGUAAGUAGUGUCCUACCAAAAACCUCUCAAUCAAGUCUUCACACCCCUAUAAAACCCAUUUUCCUAAAUCUAUACCUUUAAAAAAUAGGGCAUCUUCUUAUUUUUUUUCGUCUUCUAGUUCAAACCUCUUCUGAUGGGUAGGUUCCUAUCCUUUAUCUAUUAGUAAAUAGUAAAUGGAUGAAAUUCACUCGUCAGAAUCCAUAUACGAAACUACGUAAAAUAAGGCCAUGGUCGCUGCAUCUGAAAUCAUUCGUUCACCCGAAAGCCCUCUCUCUACGCUAAAAUGCUAAAUCAUUUGGGCUCUUUCACAUAGGAAUUUUAGUAAAAAGUUCCUUAUCGGUUUCGCAUGCCAAUUGGCAACUGCUCUAUUUCGUAUCAUCCCACCCAAACCUAUACGCUAUUUCACCAACGAUCAUUUCAUUUCUGAGCAAACGGGAUCCUGACCAUACACAAAAAUAGAAUGACCUAUAUGGCAAGGCUUUUCCAAGCCAUUUUGGGGCAAGCGGAUCAUUUAUGAUGAAGAGGAUGAGCUUCUCAUUCUUGAAAAUCCACACUUUUCCAAACCCAGAAGACAGACGGAAUCCUAGGAUUCCUCCUUGAGACAAAUACUUUUAUGCAUACCUCUUUUGGUUGAUCCACACCAUACUCUAUUCUCGUAAAAUGAUAUACACUAGCUAAGAGCCCGCCGAGUGCUACAUCAUAGGCACAUUGGGAACGGAGCCCGACAUUCCCUACUUGUCCGUAAUCGCAGUAGCUAACCGACAACGUAUCCUUAAAAACUAGCUUAAUCUUACUGGUCUAUAAAAGAUAGGGGAGUAUCCCACUCAUCAACAGAUCCAAAUGAGGGGGAGGAAAGUGAAGAAGAAAAAGGAUAAUUCAAAGAAUGCCUAUUCAUCUAACGCUAGAAAGGGCUCAUGGCUUUUCCUAAUGAUACCUGUCUAUCUUUCGGUGUACUAUGAUUGAGCUCUGAGACAGCUUCAUCUUAUAGGGAAAGAAUAGUUUAUAGUGAUGGUUCGUUGAUUGAGGUUUAGUAAGGUCAGUAGUUCCAUCGACAGAGGACUGAAGUCCAGUGGUGAGAUUACGAGAAGGAGGGUGUGAAGAAAGAACUUCCGAUAAUGAAAGGAAAGCCCUUUUAGUAGUUGAUGAAACUAUAGCACGAAAAGCUACCUCCUCUUCCUUGAGGAGCACAAUAGAGCGAACAUUUUCCAUGUGAGAGAAAGAGUUCACGCUUUUGGUUUUUUUCCUUUAGGCUGCUUUUGCCUUGUGAAAUAUCGGGACCAGAAAAAAAACCCGUGCUCAAAAUAUUAAUAGGAAUAUAAGGUUAACAGCCGACCGUUCCACCACUGAGCUACUGAGGAACAAUGGGAGAUUAGAUCUCAUCGAGUUCAAUUCUUGUUCUCAACCCCUACCUUUGAGUGCAGUUUGAACUAUUGAUUUACGUAAUUGGAAGUAACCAAUUAGGUUUACGACGAAACCUAGAAAUCGAUCACUGAUCCAAUUUAAGUACCUCUACAGGAUAGACGUCAACAGAAAGCUGAAGAGUAAUGGCAGCAAGUGAUUGAGUUCAGUAGUUCCUCAUAUAAAAUUAUUGACUCUAGAGGAAUAGUAAUAUGGAGAAGACAAAAUUGUUUCAAACACCGACAGAACCGGAAGCACCCCUUCUUUCAAAGAGAGGAGGACGGAGUAUUCACAUUUCAAAUAACAUGCAUUGGAACACUCACCAAUCAAUUGCAACCAUUCACUUUAACCCUGGUUCAUCCUCUUGAACUCUCUCGAGUCCUAUGGUCAUAUACUAUAUUAAAAGACUAGCAAUACAAAGCCAAAAUACAUGAAGAAAUUGAGGUUUCAAAAUGUCAUUUAGAAAAUGCAUCAAUUUACAAGUUUUAUUCCCGUAUAACCUAUUAAAAUAUAAUAUUUUCUUGUUGCAAUUGAGGAGAAACCUCAUGUGUUUACUAAAUCAACGUUACAAAAGUCAUUUGGAGCACAAGAGCAUCGAUUAUAGUCAAACGUUUGAAGAAAUUAGAACAAGACUUUCAAAAUACAAAGUUGAAAAUUGUUAGACCUAAAAUGAUUUGAAGAAACUCAUUUCCUUUCAUUUAAACCUCAAUUUCACUCAUAAAACCAAGAUCAAAAUGGUUGAAUAACUCCAACUUAAAGUUGAAAAUGGAAGCAAGAACAAGUUUAGAAAACAGAAUUUUCUCUAGUUUUGCGCGACACCGUUUGAAAAUUGUAUCGCAAGCUUCUUAGAAGACAUAUUUCCCAGAAGACAUAUUUGCAAGAUUCUAUCCAUAAAUCAGUCAAAUUCCAGUGUCGAGUUGCUACUUCAUCAAGUACAAAAACAAAGUAAGCGUGAAAAUUCAGUUAAAUUUGAAAAAUCAUAGAUAUUUAUAGGAAUUGAUAAAAAUUCUGAAAUUUUCAUGGUAUAAAGUAUUUUGAAUCUAGUUUCAAAUGCAACAAAUGGAACUCAAUUUGAAUUUUUUUACACCAAAAUAUAACAGAUUUUCCAAGACUGCUCAGAGCCUCCUGCGAAACAAAAUUUUCAGCAACACUUAACUCAACCUUCCCACUUAAGCUCAUGAUUUUGGUUCAAAUCCAACUCACAAUCAAAGUUUAAUGUCCAACAUAAUUUGUGGAGCAAGAUUUCCCCCAAAAUUUCUUGAAAAUAAGGGCUAAUAGCACUCAAAAGUUUCGGCCGUCAAGAAAUUUUCAAAAUAGAAUUUUUUCACUAAAAUUUGCAGCAAAAUCCAACCAAGAUUCAAGCUUUCCAAGAAAUAUAUACACAAGCUACAACAUCAAGCUUUAAAACACCAAAAUCUACCAUAAACAUUCAUCAUAAAUGUGAGGACCCGAAAAUUUUCUUAUUUUAUCUUAUUUUAUUGGCUUAUUUACUUAAUUAUUCAACCAUCUUCUCCGAAUAAUUUAUUUCAAUCAUUUUAAAUUCAUUUAUAUGGAAUGAGGUCUCACUUAUAUUUUAAAAAGUCCCGUUAGCAAAUUUAAUUUUUCGGAGACUCGUUUAGUAAGAAAUAGCGAAUACACGUUUUUUGAGGCAAUAUUCGAUCCGAGAGUGCAAUGAUCUUGGAGAUUUGAGGACUCCUAUUUUUAUUCUUAAUUUAGUUAUUUUAUAAGUUAUUUGCCCUAGAGUUAGUUAAUUAUAUUUUAGUUGCAUGAAUUACUCUUAAAUUUCGUUUUAUCGCGCGCGUCGAAAGUUCUUGUAAGUCGUGUCGGUAUGACUAAUUGGAGAUUUGAAGUUUUAAUAUUAGACUCGUAAGUAUGAGUAAUUAAAGUGUUAGAGGAGUUACCUCGAAGGUUUAGUGUACAAGUGCAACAAACAAGAGAGAAAAGUGGUAAUGCACGUCACUAUUCGCGACUAUUUGAGAGUUGACUUUUGCACACCUUUAACUUAGCUUGUUCAACACAAUUCUUCCACAAAUUUUAGACCCAAGAAACUCCCCUCACCUCACUCUUUCAGCCAACCAAGAAAGAAAAGAAACAAGAAGAGAAAGCUCCAAACUUUUGCUUCCAUUUCACUUGAAAAUCCUCACCCAACUCACAAAACCUUUGGAGAUUAGUUCUAGUUUGGAGAAAGACAACAUCUUGUGGAUUUUCUUGGGGUAAUUUCGGUGGAGAAAUCUGAUUUUUCAUCUAGGGUUAGAGGUAACCCUUUAACUCUUCUAAUCUUUCCAUGUUCUUUAAGAAUCAUGGUUAGUUUCGCAUGGGUUUACAACCCUAAGCAAGAAAUAGGUUAGAGGACUUGAGAAAAAUCAUUUAUCUUGCUUUAAUCUCUAGGCUAGCAGUCUUGAGGUGGAUUAUAGGUAGCUGACUUGAGGUGUAAUUAUUUGAUUAUGGUUGUUUAUAUGUUGUAUGAGAUGAUUACGGUUAGAAAGUGGAGAGAAAGUUGGAAAACUUGUCGAGAGUAAGCUGGCCGAAUUUCUGGCCAUGUUGUUCUGUAUUAUUUUUGAAAUUUUGAUGCUUGGUUGACUGUGAAAUUGAUGGAUAUAUGUUGUAUAUUGUGUGUACAAAGUGCCUUUCGAAAAUCAUUUUAUUUGGUUGCACAAAACUAGAGUUUUCAAAAUUGGAAGAAAUCUGGAAAUGGUGAUCAGGGCAGCUUAACAGUAAUCCUUUGUUCGAACAUAUCUCUUUAUACAAAAGUCAAAAUUGAGUGCUAUUUGUGGCAUUUAAAACUAUACAUUCAUAGCUUUCUAACGGUAUAAAAAUCACUUGCUAAUUCAUCUUGAGUCAACCGUAGUGAUUCGGCAAAUUUGGCUGUCCUGUUGUGACUGUCUAUCCGAGAGAAACUGAGAUGCUGCAUUUUGUGGCUCGAAGUUCUCUCAGUUGUAAAAAAUUUUUACAAUGAUUCCUUCUGAUGAAUUCUGGCAUUUUGAAUCUAGUUUCCAACGCCAUAAACCAUUCUUAAUUUGAGUUUGUAUUGAGUGAGAUGUGGUCUGAUUUCGAAAGUGCAACAAGGUUGAAAACUAGAAAGUUUUUCCCUUCUUGCUGACCGAAUAGUCAGGUUUAUUUUGGGAUGUGUUGUUUCGAAAAUUUUGAUGUCAAUUACCCAUCAAUUGCUCAUUAAAUGUUUCUGAAACCUUUGUCUCAAAAAUGGAGUGAGUUGGGGCUGAUUUCAUUGCACCAAACUUUUGAAAAGAAAGAAAGGGUCGAGUUGGCAAAUUAGCUUUGAAAAUUUCCCAAACUUUGGUCAUUUUAUUAACUGUCUUCCCGUAUGAUUUUUUACCUGAAUUUUGAUAGAGAAGUCGUCCAUAUAUGGAAGUUUAAGUAUACCAAAUUUGGUGUAAUUUCAAUACCAUUUCGAUACUCAAAUAGUGCCCCAAAGAUUGCUCUUCAAAUAGGGGUGUGCAAAAUCGAAAAAUUCCGAUUUACCGACUGAAUUCGAAUUCAGUAAUUCGGAAUGAAAAUCGAAAUUUCGAUUUCGAAUUCGUCGAAUUCGGUAACGAGAUUUUUCAAAUCGGAAAUUCUGAUUUCGAAUUCACAACUCGAAAUCGAAAUCAGAAUUUCUAUUUCGAUUUCAAAUAUGUAUUUCAUAUAUAUAUAUACAAUAUAUAAUAUAACAUUUAUAUUAUAAUAAUAAUUUUUAUAUUCAUAAAUUCGGUGAAAUCGGAAUUCCUAUUUCGAUUUCAAUUUUCUUUUUCACACAUAUAUAUAUAAUAUUUUUUAUAUAUAUGUAAUAUAAUAUUUAUAUAAUAAUAAUAAUAAUUUUUAUAUUCAUGAAUUCGGUGAAAUCGGAAUUUAUCAAAUUUCGAAUUGAAUUCGGAACGAAUUCGAAUUCGAAAUUGGUGAAUUCGAAAUCGAAAUCGAUCGAAAAUUCUGAUACCAAAAUUCCAAAAAAUUCCGAUUUCAAAGUUCCAAAUUACCGAUUUCGAUUUCGAUUCACACCCCUAUCUUCAAAUCUGGAAAUUUACUGAACAGGCCGUGAAAAUGAACCAAAUUUAAACUGUUAUAUAUUGAUGUUCAAGACUCCAAAUUUAGUUCCGUUUGUUGUAUUUGAAACUUUGUAUGGAACUCUCAUUGUGUUACAAAUUUCAAAGGCUGAUUCACUUUCUGUGAAUUUUGCCGAAUUUCCAAACAUCGCUGAAAACCAAGACUGGUUCUGUCUUACCUUCUUGAAUUAGCAACUUUGAACUGAAAAAUGAAUGCUUUUGGUUUGGAAUCUUGGAAAAGUGUCUUCUAGAAACUUUUAGUGUCCUGAAUCUAGUUUCCAACGAUAUAAAGUUUUCUAUUUUUGAACAUACUAAACUCAAGAUCUGAUUUUCCAAAGAUCGUCACACAAAGCUGAAAAUUUCUAAUUCCAUGGGAAAAGGACUUUUGAGAACUUUUCACUUUCUUCGAUAUUGAUGGAUCAUUUUGAACUUGGUUUCAUGAAUGUUACAAGUUUCUCUUGUUACUUUAAUUCCUUACUUUUCAAUCUCGAUUUUUGAGGAAAUUAAAGCUCUUCUAAGACAUUGUCUUAAAUUUUUAAGUGAGUAUACUUUCUUCCUUGUAUGUUACGUGGUCGUGAGUAUAUGUGAGUGAUGUUUAGUCACUAUUUCUUCAGAUGCUCAAGGAGAUUUCGAAGGGAAUCUUGAUGCAGACACCUAAAGUUUUGUUUACUCACUUAUUUUGAAUCGGCGAGUGUCUAGUGUUUGAUUCGUUGUUAAACAUGUGAAUUGCUUCUUGCCAAUUAUAUGAUUUGGAAUCGUCGAGACAAGUGUGUACUUUAUCGCACUCGUUCUCUUUCACAUGAAAUUAUAUUCGAAUUUUGCUAUGUGAAUCGAUAUUCGACUCGUGAAAAGUGUUGUGGUUGUGAUUCGCAUUUGUAAUUCGUAUUUGAAAUCGUCGAUUGGAGCAUUGUCUCAUCGACUUAUAUUCAUAUUUGACUUAUAUAAGUAUUCGGGGGACGCCCAAAUUCACAGGCUAACCUUGUGACUCGAGCCGGUAUACGCUUGGUCGAGAAGUUUGGUGAACUAUGAGAUAUUUGUAAAGCUUGAUCUAUUUGAGAAAUCUCGCUUGGCAUACUCGAGUAAUAUCGCCUUUUAAAAUGAUGAGCGGGCUCGAAAUAGAGGGUAUAAUGAUGAACGGGAUUUGUGAAGUAAAGUGGUGUUCUAUGGACUAAAUAUACCUACCCGGUUGAUGGAGUGUCAUCACGUAGAGAUAUGCGAUCGAAACUCGGCAAAGCAAGUGGAACCUAUCUCCUGAGAGCUCCUGUAUCCUUAUUGAGUGUGUUUUAUUUCAAAUUGUGAAUUACUUGAAUGUUAUAACUUUAUUUCUCGUAUAAGUGCUAUUGUUAUUUGAACUAUGUGUUUGCAUGUUUUUCUUGGCCUCACUGAGCGUUUCACUCACCCCAUUAGUUUUGUUUUCCUUAACAGGAGCUGAAAUGGAAAGAAUUAUGGAGAGGCCGACUGGAUGGCCCUUUUGAUUAGAAGUUUGGAUGUAAUUGAUGAGACGACUUUUGGAGGUUGUAUAUUUUGAGGAAAGUUGAUGUACUUUUGGUAACUUACGAUGUAAGGUUUGAAUGUUCCAUUAAAGAAGCGACUUUUCUUCACUUCGACUUAUAUUAUUUGGUUAUUUAUCCUUGAGUUUGAAUUGGAUUUGUAUCGAGCCCUGGCGAGAGUUAGGCAGGCGUCCCGCCGAUACCCUUUGGUUCACCUUAAGGAGAAGUGGGGCGUUACAAUAAAAGCACAAGAAUGAAUCUCAAGUCAUCUACCUAGCUUGCCAUAAAAAUAUAAGGAAUUUUCCUCAAGUCAUCUACCUAAACCAAGGUUCCAGCAAAACCCAUCAACAACCCAUCAAAGAUUCAAUUUUUCUAACUACAAGUCUACCAGAAAUUUGAAGAAAAAAGAGGGCUUCAAGGCAAUACCUCUCCUAGCAAUUUCAAUCAAGCAACAAUUCCAAGUUUCCUCCAAGAGUUGCUCCCAAGCAAGACUUUCUUCCAAACUCAAGCAAGAUUCCCAGAAUCAUCCAAAGUUGGGGAAGAUUUGAAGCAAAAAUGGAGGAAAAAAAUUGAGCUUUUCUUCUCUUUUUUUUAGCUCUCGGCCCUCUCUCUCUCCUUUCCUCUUGAUUUUGGUUGUUUUAUUUUUUUUUAAGGCAAGAAAAGAAAGAUUAAAUGAUAAGAAAACUUGGUCAAAGGUCUCCCUUAACUCCCAUGGUAACACUUGUCGCCUUCUAGAGUUCUUUAGCUCCAAGUGUCCCAACAGUUAUCACCUUCUAGAGAUCUCUAGCUCCAAGUGUCCCAAUUCUCUCUCUUAUUGCACUAAAGUCCUCCUUUUUUUUCCAAAGGUUCCUUUUUACGCCCCACUACAAAAGAAAUUUUCAUUUUAUCCCACACAUUAAUUUUCACAUGUAAAAUUUAAUAAAAGCAUUAAGGCAAAAUCAUCAUCAAAUCAAUAAAUAACCAAAUAGAUGACUUAAUAAAUAAAGUACUAUAUGGUUAAACUAGAUAAAUUAGCAAAUUUCUAGGUUCUCACAAAAUUGACUUUUAACAUCUUUUCAUAUGCCAACCAAAACAAUCAAUUCAUUCGGAUUUUAUCCUCAUUUUGUUAGGUCAAAUGUCUCUUGUCAUUUCAGUUAACCAAAUUUUCAAAUUAUUUUUCAAUCGAAUUUCAGUAAAUUGAUCGGAUCCAUCAAGUAUUAUUGUAUGGUGCCUACACUAGAGAAUUGCAUUUUACAUAUUAGGCCAACUUUUAGCAUAAAAAGGCUCUCCCAUAAGACAUGCAUACCGAUUUUACAAUUUUACUUAUUAAUUCUGGGUAUUUUUCUUUUCUUUUUUCCCCUCCUUUGCAUUUAUAAAAGAUGUUUCAAUAAGGUAAAAUAUUUUUUCUAUAUCUGAUAACAAUUUUGGUUUGAUAAAUUUUAAAAAUUACAAAUAUUAUUUGAUUUUUGGACAGAUCCUGCAAUGUAAAAAUAUGAAGAAUCCAACUAAAAGCGCUAGUCUAAAGCGUCUAAGAGAUUUCAUGAUAUAGUUGUUCAUUAAAAAAAAAUCUCUUGAUUUGUUGUUUCUAACACAUUUUGUCUUAAAGUAAGAAAAGAGAAAGUAUGUGUACGUAUGAAAGGGAACCCUUUAAAAAAAAUUUCUUUUCUCAUUUGUAUACUAGUUGAGCCAAAAAAAAAUUUUUAAACAUUUGCGAUAAUAAAUUUUUUCAUUUAAACAAUCAUUGUUUUGUAUAAUCAUGUAUAUUUCAUUAUUUAUUUGCUCGUUGGGAGACUUUGUGAUGGACUUUAAGAAAUAAGGCUAAAUUGAAAUUCCUAAUCUCUUGCAUGAAAUUUACAAGUGUGUGUUUAGCUUUCUAAAAUUUUUGCAUGCUCUAGAGAGCGCUCGAAAUCAAAAGAAAUCCCUCAAACUUGUCAAUUUGUCUUGAAAGACUAACCACGAUACUUUUUCUCUUUUAUUUUUGCUAUUUUUUUCAAUGUUAUCAAACCUUCAGAAUCAGUCACCUUGAUUGACACACUUUAAAAUGAAUCAGAUUCAAUCUACAUCUAGUUGAAAGCAAAAAUGUCAUUACUCUUAGUUGUUUUGAGUAUUUGGAAUGAUACUUUAUGUGUUCGUUUUUCUAUUUAUAGAGAUUUUAUCAUUUGUUCUUUCAUUUGAACUAUCAAAAAUACAAUUUCAUUUCAAAUAAGAGCCUUAGUGACAUAACCCUACAUUGAAAAAAUUUUCAAAUGUCAAAAGGGAAUAAAUUUUCCCCAAUGAGCUAUUCUUUACUUUAGCUGUCAUUUGAAGUAAGAAUGAUACUGUGGUCAUCAUUUCUACUAUCUAAACACUAUUUAUCCUUUGCAUCCCCAUUUAAGUUUAAAUUGGUGAUUCGGUUCAAAAGAACUCAUGAUCACACCCCACAUUAGAGAAUUUUCAAAAAUAGCAAAGAUGCUAAAAUUUUGAAAGGAACAUGAAGUAUUCAAAAAAAAAAAAAAAGAAGCGGCAUCUAUAUUCUAAAAGUUAAGGAGCUUUCGAUUCUAUCAUUUAUAUUUGGGAUUACGGUAUUGGCAAAAAAAAAGGGGAAACAGAAAAAAAGGGAAAAUGCGAAGAAAAAAAAAGAAAAGAAAAUGAAAAGAUGCAAAGAGGUUCAAUGCUGAAAUCCCUCUAGUGAUUAAUGAUAACAGUUAAAAUAGAAUCCAAGAUCUUUGAUCCCAAAACUGGGGCAAUUUUGGGAAGGAAAGCAAUCUUAAGUGCAAUGUCCUUCAAAAUCUUGUUUCUUUUAGCUAUCGUUGUCAAGUCACAUUACAAGCUUAUAAAGUCCAUUGUUGACUUAUCUUUCAUGACAACUUGAAAUAAAAAUCGUGCCUCUAAGGGAUCUACCAAUCAUUCGUGAUCACAAGAUCAUAACCUGUUUCAUCGUGUUUAUCUAUUUCUUUUACUCAUAUAUUAUAAGUCUAUAAAUCUUAUAUAUUGACUAAGUUUUCAUAAAAUGUAAAAGUGAUAAACUAUUUGCUAUCACCAAGAUGUGGUAUUAAAUGGGUUAGAUGCAAUAUGUGCACAAAAUCGAGACAAAUCUUGAUGAACCAUUUUUAACCAUUAUUUCUCUUAACCACCUGAAAAUUAGAAAUAAUACGCUUGUUUGGUCCUAAAGGAUGAGUUAACGAGAAAAAGUGAUCAUUUUCCCUAAAACACAGAUCCUAAAGUGAGGAAGAGAUCUUUUGCAAUUUGAUCUUGUUUUAAGAGAUUCAUCAUGAAGUCUUCUACAUAUGUUUAAAUGCAAUAUUUAAGUUUCUUCUUCAUUUGAAGAAUGCAAUUUCUAUUGUACAUCAAUCCACAUUGCAUGUUAGUAUGUGAUUAUUUUUUAAAUUUUAGGAAACACAGUUUUCUUGUUUUGUCAAAAUAAAUGGAAAGUCAUCCAAACAAAAUUUUUACAAUUAAAACAACUCCAAAUUGGGGCAAAUUUUUGUAAUACAUUUGUGAGAUUUCGCCCAAUAGACCCAAAUUGUGGCAAAUUUUUGUAAUACAUUUGUGAGAUUUCACCCAAGAAUCAAGUAAUAUACCUUCGAAUCUAUUGUUUAAAAUUCGACUUUGAUAAGACCAGACUUUUCAUGAGUAAUAAUUGCAUCUUUUUUUUCAAAAUGAAGUAAAUUUUUUUUUGUGAAAAUUCAAGUGCAAAUUGUAUUUUGGCAAAUUCCCUCUGUGUAGCACAAAUAUGGUUGAGAUCGGUGAAAUAGCGCAAGUCAAAAUCUUAAAAAUUUGAAUCUCAACCAUGAAUAAAAAAAAGGAGCAAUAAUGCUACAUUUGCAAAGUGGAGGACUAGCUUGUCCAUUGAGAAGAACUUACUUUAGCAACUAGUUUUGAAAAAAAAAAAAAGGAGGGUUUUCCUCCAAUUUUGCAAAUUUUGUUGUUGAACUUUUGGAGCAUUUUAUUUUGGAAUUGUGUUUCUAAGUUGAGGCAACAUUUUAUUCUCUCAUGCUUGGAAUGGAAAUGUUAACACCUGCCAAAAUUAAGAUCCCAUUCCUGCGCAUUUUGAUGAAAGCCCAACUGAAAGAAGCCAAAUCAGUCAAGAAGCCAUGAAUUAUUAUCUCCAAUUGAUAGAAAUGAGUUGAAUGCCAUUUGUCAUAGGCAAUAUUACCAACAAUGAAUGACUCAUGUUCAUAACAAGAAAGACAAAUCUCGCUUGUUUGAAGUGAGAGAUGAGGUUUUGAAGUGAAUACUUCCGGUUCAAGCAGAGGCUAAAGGAAAGUUUGCUCCAGCUUGGCAACGACCAUUCAUUGUUAAAGAGUGCUACUUGGAGGAGCACUUAUUCUCAUAGAGAUGGAUGGACAAAUUUUUUCUCAACCUAUCAAUUCAGACUUGUGCAAAAAAAAUUUCAAUUGAUUAUGAAAAUUUUCUUUUGAAAUUACUGCAAAAGAGGGGUUCAAGUCAGUCUUUCCUUCCCUUUUCAUUUGGACAUUUUAUCUUUAUUUUUUUUCUUUGACCUCUCAGAAUAACUUAUUCUUUUUGCUUGGUAGUCCUUUUAAGAUUGCAAGCCCUACAUUGGGGUAAAUUUUUAUUUCUUUGUUUCUAUUUUCAAAAAACAAAAAAAAAGAAGAAGAAAUAAAAAUAGAAAAAGAGUGAGUGAGCGCAAAAGAGAAGAAAAGAGAUACCCAAUUAGAAUUAAACCGGGGCAAAUUUUAGUUCUUAUCAACCUUACAUUGGAGCAAAUUUUGAAAAAUUGCGAUCUCGAAAUUUUCAAACCCAUUUUGUAAUAUAGCUUCAAACCCUAACCAUUUCUUUACACCUCACCGAACCCCAUUACAAAAGUAAAAUGUUAUCAACCUCCCCUUUUGUAAUAUUUUGAGGGAAAUUUUUUUAAUCAAUUGACAGAUGAUGUAAAUACACUUUCACCAAUUUUGCAAGGGAAGGAUUGUCUCACUGAUGCCAUCAAUUUUAAAACUUAUUUUUGAAUUGAUAGAGGUUGUCAUUAAAUUUAUUCAUUAGGUGAAAACCCAAAAGGGCGCCUCUUCAAAAAAGAAAAGAAAAGAAAAAAAAAGAAGAAAGAGAAAGCAAAAAAAAAAAGAAAAAGAAAAUGGGUAGGGGCAACUUUAAUGAAAAUCCGAAAAGGCACUAAGGUAGGGUUUUGAAGCACAAAGAGAGCCGUGAAUGAAAAACAGAGAGUCGAUUGUUGAAUAGUUGGUGAUUAUAUUCAUUUGGGUUUCUCUUUAUACUGAAACUCUUUUGACAACACUAAAUUUCAAAAAAAUGAUAUCAGAAGGGAUCAUAAAUGACGUUUCUCUCAUCAUAGACUGGCUGUUCAAAUUUAUAUAUGAGUCUCCAAAUCACUUUUAAUAAACUUUAUAAGAAUCGUUUUCUCAUUGAAAAUAAUUUUUACUCUAUUCUUGUUUCGUUGCAUUAAUAAUCUAGUUUAAAAUUUUUACAUGUUUUACCAAGAGACCAUCCCCGCAAUUUAUCGUAAUUGGUAUAUAGACAUGCAUGUCUCAUGGUAUAAACAUGGUUGGCUAAGUAAAGAUACUAGCAUAUCAAGAACAAGUUGCACAACAUUUCUAAAUUAAACUGUUUUUUUUUUCAACAUCUAAAAACUCAUUUUUACAUGGUUCUCAAGACUCGAGGAAUGACACGGUGGUGGCAUUAUAUUUUAUCACAGUUGUUUUCAUUUUCUUUUGCAAGAUUGGAUUACGCAAGCGGUCUGCCAAACCCUUUGAUUCGCCUUAGGGCAAAGGUGGAUCAUCACAUAUUUAUUGGAGUUGGGUUUUAUCCCACUAAACAUUUAUUUUGUUGAAUUUGGAUUUAAUCCCAUCAACCGUUUAUUUGUUGGGUUCGAAUUUUAUCCUACCAACCAUUUGUUUUGUUGGGUUUGGGUUUUAUCCCACCAACCAUUUAUUUUGUUGAGUUUUCCACCGACCGUUUUUUUUUAUAGGGUUUGGGUUUUAUCCCACGAACCAUUUAUUUUAUUGGAUUUGGAUUUUAUCCCACUAACCGUUUAUUUAUUGAGUUUGAAUUUUAUCCCGCCAACCCUUCAUUUUAUUGAAUUUGAAUUUUAUCCCACCUACUGUUUAUUUUGUUGGAUUUUGAUUUUAUCCCACCAACUUUUUAUUUGUUGGAUUUGGGUUUGGGUUUUAUCUCACCAACCUAUUAUUUGUUAGAUUAUUAUUUUAUCCUACCAACUUUUCAUUUGUUGAGGUUUGAUUUUAUCGGACCAACCUUUCAUUUGUUGGAUUUGGAUUUUAUACCAUCAACCUGCUAUUUGUUGGGAUUGGGUUUUUCCCACCAACAUUUUAUAUAUUGGAUUUGGAUUUUAUCCUACUAACCUUUUAUUUGUUCGGUUUAGUUUUAUUCCACCAACCUUUUAUUUGUUGAAAUUUGAUUUUAUCCCUUUUAUUUGUUGAAAUUUGAUUUUAUCCCACCACCAUUUUAUUUGUUGGAUUUGGAUUUUAUCCCAUCAAUAUUUUAUUUGUUGGGUUUGGGUUUUAUCCCUCCUGCCUAUUUAUUUGUUGGAUUUGGGUUUCAUCCCAUAACUCUUUAUUUGCUGGAUUUGAGUUUCAUCCCACAAACAUAUUAUUUAUUGGAUUUGGAUUUUAUCCCACCAACCCUUUAUUUAUUGGGUUUGAAUUUUACCUCACCAACUUUUAUUUGUUAGGUAUGUGUUUUAUCCCACCAACCUUUUAUUUGUUAGGUUUGAAUUUUAUCCUAUCGACCGAUUCAAAUGUUUACUAAUUUCAAUCUUGUUUAAAUGCUCAUUUUGUUUGUUUUGAUUCAGUUGCAACUGAAGUAGACAGGUAAGUAAUUUGAUAUCUACAUCUUUAUCUUGAAUUUCUUUGAAAUUUAAAUAAAGAGAGGCAUGUUGUAGACACCAAAUUUUUCUUAAUUUCAAGUAUGCUAUUUUUUAACUUAAAUUGCUUAAAUGAUUAUUUUAAUUUUUGAUUUGUAGGUUUGUGCAAAAAAAAAAAAUUUGUGACUACACGUGUGCAAUUUCCCUUCUUGUAACGAACCAAUAAUAAUACAAGAUAGCUGAAAAUUUUGGGCAGAUUUUUGGAUGGAUUUUUCCUCCUUUUUUUUUUUUUAAGUUUUGGAUUGUACAAGAACAACUCAUGACAUCCUAAAUUCUAUCUUUUAGUACCUACCAAAAAUUGAUCCAAGGGAGGGGAACGGGCACACAAUUCUAUUGGAUCCUAACCAUCAAUUCUAGACUUUAGAAUUUUUUGUUCCAAAAACUCCAACUCUCUCAAGAAAACCCCACACAUUUUCUCGGUUCCCUUUUCACUCACUCUCACAAUAUAACCCCAAACAACACAAAAAAAACAGCCAACUCCCCUAACUCUCUCAAACUCUCCCUUUUUUCUCACACACACAAGUUUUUUUCACAAACUAAACAAACAAAGGAAACAAAAGGACGGUUACGGCUUGAAAAACUUUAUCAAAAUGUGAACCGAGGAACUACUACUUUCAUUGAGGUAUUUUCUAGCUUUUUAAUCAUAUUACAUGCAUGUUUCAUUGCUUAUUUUUCUCUUGCUUUUGCUGGUUUGUUGUUGUGAUUUUGGAAAAGUCAUAGAACAAGAUUAAGGGAAGAUAAAUGGGUUUUGUUUAUGUAUAUAAAUUGUUUGAACAAACGCCAAAGGAAAAAACCAAAUUAAGUUAGGUUGUUUCUUAUUCAUUUAAAGUCAUAGUUGCACUUUAGAAUUCGAAAGGGUUGUUUUGGUGUGACUUUUACAAAUUUUAGAGGUGAUUAGAGUGGUUUUAAAAAAAAAAAAAAAACUGGGCUGUUUUUCAACAAUUUAGUCACUUUUGGUUCGUUUUUUGUAAAAAUUAAGGUCGGAAACGGAUUCCAUGCAAAAAAUCAAGUGGGGAGGUAUUUUGGUGAAUUUUCAUGAUCGGAGAGAUCGCCAGCGGCCCGCGAUGGCGGCGCCGCCAGCUCUGAGGCUUCAAUCUGCCGAAGAAGAUCAAAGAAAGGAAAGAAGAAGAAGAGAAAGGAAAGAAAGAAAAAGAAGGAAAAAGAAAAGAAAGAAAAAAGAGGGAAAAGAGAAAAAAUAAAGGGUUGGGUUUUUAUCUAGGGUAAAUUCCACUUUACCCCCCUGUGGUUUAGCGUUUUUUCACAUAACCCCCCUAUGGUUUCAAAAGCUAUACAUAACCCCCUCAUGGUUUGGAUUAAAGUGUCAAAGUAACAGAAAUAGUCACUCGUAACGGAACUUCUAAAAAUGUCGAAAUUACCCUUAUAAAUACAUGACACAUUAACCCCCUAUGAUUUUUAUAUUUUACCAUAUAACCCCCUUAUGGUUUAAUACUUUACCAUAUAACCCCCUUAUGCUUUUCAAAAUAUACACAUAACCCCCUUGGUUAAUACAUAAAUUUCAACCUUACAUAACGGUAUUUUUGACAUUUUAGGUGACGCCGUUACGAGUGACCAUUUCCGUUACUUUGACACUUUAAUCCAAACCAUGAGGGGGUUAUGUAUAGCUUUUGAAACCACAGGGGGGUUAUGUGAAAAAACGCUAAACCACAGGGGGGUAAAGUGGAGUUUGCCCUUUUAUCUAUUUGUAGUUGAGUUUAAGAGUGGGCUGGUAUUGUUUUUUUUACUUUGGGUUUUGUCUGGGCUUUAGAGUUAAGCCAAAUAUUUUUAUAAUAUCUAAGUUUGUUUAAAUUUCUUUAAGUUUGUUUGUUUGUUUGUUUUUUUGGAUUAGAUUGCGUCAAUUUAUUUGGGCUGAAGUGUUGCGGCCCAAAAUACAUAAAAAUAGCCCAAUGUUUGUUUUUUGUGAAAUCAGAAUCCACAUUUUGCAAUUCGGUCCUUGAUUUUUCAAGUAAUUUCACUGUGGCUCUAAAUUUUUGAAUUUCUUUCACUUAGAUCCUUAAUUUAAUUGUACUUUGGUCCUUAAACUUUAUCUUUUUAUUCAAUUUUGACCCCUAAUUUUUUCAAUAAGUAUAAUUUGACCUCAAUAACUUUUCCAAUUUUGCAAUUAGGUCCCUUAGCUUGAUUAUUUCUUAAUUACAAUUGCUUAUCUUCUUUAAUUGUUAAUCUUGCUUCAUUUAAAUAUAUUUAAUUUACAAAUUUUAGGGAUUUUAUGUUUAUAUUUUUUUAUAAUAAUAAAGUGAAUUUACUAUAUGUUUACAUUUUCUUUUAAAUUAUUGUUUAAAUUGGUGCCUUGACUACUUUAUUGGAUUUGGAGUAUAAAUAGGGCAAUUAUACCUCAUUUAACCACUACUUCAGGGGAGGCAUUUUCUAUUAUUAUUUUAAGUUUCUUUGAUGUGCUCCUAUGUAUUUUUUAUGUGUGAUUGCACAUUUUGAGUGUUUUUUCUUUUAUUUACUCAUCUUAUUCAUUUUAAAUUUUUAUUUAUUUUAUUCAAUUUUUGAUGAUUAUUUGGGAGAUAUUUAAAUACCAAAUUGUAAUAGAUAGGUGUCUAAGAAACAUAUUUAGUUAGGCAAUGUUAUAGAUAGAUUUUAUUUUUGCCAAGAUUGUAAUUGUUUAGAUAAAUGUAAUAAAUAGGUUUACGAUUUCCAAAAAUUCCCCUUCUAGAUUGUACGUAGGGCUCCCAAUGUAAUAGUUAAUUUUUGUUUGCUUGUAUGCUCGUGUGCUCAUGUGUUUAUAUGUUUAUUCGCUUUCUUUAGGUUUUUUGCAUCUAGAUAUUAUGUCUAUGUGUUAUGUGUCUUAUUUGUUUUAUGUCUUUAUUUGAUUUAAUUAUGUUUUAUUUAUUUAUAAUAAAUGCAUGACGAUAUCACACUAGUCCAAUACUAGUUGCGACCUUUCUUCUCGAUUUCUCACUAGUCCAACGCUAGUGAGAGCUUGUAGAAAUGGGUUAGUCCAAUACUAGAUCUUUUAGACCAUUUUCACGCUAAUUUCAUGCUUUGGUGUGACAUUUAUUGCAUUUCAUGCAUUUUUUCCUAUUUUUAGGAUAUUUUUAUCAUUAGCAUGAUUUUUUCCUACUAUUAUUCUCUUAUCCUCUAUAUGUUUGGACCAUAUCGUUUAGAAUUGCAUUUUAUUUUAGGAAAUUAGAAAUAGGUUAGUCUAUUUGGUUGACUAGGUUAGAAAAGUCAUGCUUCAAAUAUGAAAAAUGAACGAGUAUGAUUUUUUAACCUUAGUACGCUCUCAUCCCCUCUGUAAGAAGAAAAUUGAGUCACGAAUUUUAGUUUUCCGUACCCGUUAUACUACAUUCCCCUCUCCUAGGUCAUGUAUAUUUGCCUAUAUAUUACAAUUGCCUUUUUGUGUCUCAUCUUUUGCAUUUUUGUAACAUCUUCAAAGAAUCAUUUUUGGGUAUUACAAUUAAUGUGAUUUGCACCAAUUAAAUUUUGAAAAGACAUUUCAUCUCUCUCAAUACCCCCUAGAUCUAGGUUUGCAUUCAUAUAGAAACAUCCAAAUGUGAUAAGUUUUAUAAGUUAGAUUAGGAAAAAUUUCGAUUAAACCUCGCAACUAACCUUUGUUAGGUUGAAAGGUACCUUAGAUUUGAACCUAUCAAAUCUUUGCCUUUCCUUUUUUUAAUCGUAACUCCCGAAUUCUUUUCUUUUGUUUUCAAAGUCCUGGAGUUGUCUGAAAAGAGUUUUAUCCAUUUUUUAUUUAAAAUAUAUUUUUGGUGAUUUGGUACACCUAAACUCAAUAUCAAAUGGCGACUCUACUUUUUUUUUCUAAAAAUCCUUUUAGACUAUUAUUUUGGACUCAAACCGUCACAUUUUCUAAAUCCUAUUUUAGGCCCCUUUUUCUUUAUUUAUUUUCUAAAAUAAAAAACUCAUUUUAAAUACCACUUUCUCUUUUAUUUUUUUUUUUCAAAAAUGGGGCACUACAUAUCAUUUUUUUCAUUUUACCAAGGUGAUUAUCCUCUAAUUGUUUACCAUUUCUAAAAGUGAUUGCAUUCACAUGUUCUCUAGGAUUCACCUCGAUUUUACUUGAAAAUUCACCCGAUUGUCUCAAAUUAAUAGAAUUAGCAAUAUUACCUGCCCCUUGCAUAUCCCUAAUCAAAAUCAUCAUAUUGUUCAUGUUCAUUUUAAUAUCAUCAAAUCUUUCUUUUGUAUCAUGAAUAUUGUUUUCAAAUUUAGCCUCCAAAGUUGAAAAUCGUGACUCAAGUGGUCUUGUUGGAAAACUGAGUGGAUUGAUAGAUUUUUGAGAAUUUGAUUAGUCUCUCCACCCUAAUUUUGGAUGAUUCUUCCAACCGGAGUUGUAAGUGUUUGAAAAAGGGUUAUUUUGAAGCGGCCGAUUAUAGCUGUUAACAUUAUGAAUUUGCUCCACAUGAAAACAAUUAGCACUAUCAUGAUUACCAUCACAUAUUGAACAAUAAGCAACACUUACAUGAGAAUUUGAACAAUUUUUUCCUUGUUUACUUAACAAACUCUCAACGUUAUCCAUUCGAGAAUUAAACAUGUUUUCUAAUUUGGCACUUAAAAAAUUGAGAGUGUCAAUUUCAUGUGUACCGGUUGCUCUUCUUGCAUUAAUUCUUUUAUUUGCCUAUUGAUAGUUGUUAGGGGUCAUUUCCUCUAUUAAAAUUUGAGCAUGCUCAGUUGAUUUUUUCAUUAAAGCACUAUCAACAACGGCAUCUAUGUUGAUCUUGGUUGGGUAGUUGAAUCCAUUAUAAAAAGUUUGAACAACCAACUAAUUGGGGAGACCAUGGCGGGGACAUCUUCUUUGAAGAUCUUUGAAUCUCUCCCAAUAUUCAUAUAACGACUCGCUUUAUAUUAAGUAAAACCUAUGAUAUCUAUACAUAGUUUAGCCAUUUUUUCGAGAGAAAAAUAUAUAUUUAAGAUUGUUUUUGUCAACUCACCUCAAUAAGUGAAAGUAUUAGGUGAAUAAGAGUUAAUCUAUACCUUCACUUUAUUACAGAGUAAAAAGGAAACAACUUUAACUUAAUUGUGACAGGUGUCGGGCCUGUGUAAUAAUAAAUAUCUGCUCAAAUAAAGUAUGAAUUUUGUAUAUAGUGGUAAGUAGGGUCGAAUCCAUAGGGACUGGGGGAUUUUGUUUCUUCUAGAAUUUAGAGUAUCGGGGACUUUUAUAAAAAUAUCAAAUUAACUAAUCAACUAAAUAAAAGCAACUCACGAAAAUAAAUAGGAAUUAAUCAAUAAUAGAUACGACUCUAGCUAAAGAUGCAACAUCUCAGACACGGUCCAUUCAACUGAUCAUAGAUACAAAGAUAAUUCAAUUACUCAUUAAUAGAUUGAUUAUAGUUGCCAUACACACGAUAAACAACCAAUUUUUUCUUACUUUUUCGAUAGCCAAGAUACGAUUGUUGAUUUUUUUCCCUAAUCAAGGAACAAUUCUAGGUACGACCGUAGGAUUUAAUUCCUCAAUUGCAUUAAAAAUUAGAAAAAUCCAACUCUAACCAACAAACAUGCUAUGAGAUUCGUUUAAAUUAGAUCAUACAUUUCCCUAACAUGGGACCAAUCACGCUAGUCACCACUGGUAAAAAUCAAUUAAAUAAUUACGGAUUUAAUCAAUUAAUCUAGCCAUAGAAUAUUAGGUUAAUUCGAAUAUCGGACUCUUGACAUUCAAAUAACAAAACAAUUAUAAGAAGUUAAACUAGAAAAUGUACAAAUACCAAUGAGUAAAAGAAAUAAAUAAAAUUAAUUCGAUCUGACAGAUGUUUGGAACCGUGACUUCAAAUCGAUCCUUGACUAGAAAAAGAAAUUCAACUACUUUCUAUUGAGAAUAACCCACAUAAUUCCAUUGAUGAGAAUUGCAUGAAGUUCUACAAUGAAAAGAACAAAACAAAGGGAAAGAAAAACGAAAGGAAGCCAAGCGGCCCUUGGUUGUAACUACUCACAAUCCCAUGUCUAUUCUAAUCCUUAUUCUGUUUCCUAUCAAGUCCUAAUAUUUCAGCCAUCCAUUGGCCAAUCAAAAAUAGAAUUAUAAUUACAAAAGGAAAUUUCUCCAACUAAUGCUAAUUGUUCCCUAAUAAAAUAUCUAAAAAAUGGUAAUUUCCUAGUCUUCCGCCAAUAAUCGAUGUAGACUGCAUCUUGAAUUGGGAAACUCUUGAAAAAUCACCUCUUUUAUCACUUUUUUCUCUACCUUCCUAUAAUUAGCACCAAAUAUCAAAUAUAAGUAGAAUCUAUCAAUUAAUACAAUAUUGGCUAAAAUAAAAGGAAAAAUAACCAUAAAUUGAAUGACAAUUUCAUACCUUAUCAAUGUUUCCCACACCUUAACCAUAUUUGUCCUCUAGUAUGAGAACAACAAAUCAUGCAAUCAAAUUCAAACAAUGGCUAUUGUUCGAAUAUUCUAUUGCUAAGAUACAAUUAAAACGCAUGUCAAACAUUAGUAGCAAGUUUCAAGAAAUAUCUCUCCAAUUAGCUUUCAAGAUCAAGGACUCUUCCAAUUUAUGAGAACUAAUCUAAGAAUAUAAAAUAUUCAACUAACAUCCAUCAUCAAAAUGGUUCAACUAUUAAGCAAAAUCUCAAUAUUAAAACUCAUAGAUCAGCAAACUAAUGUAAACCAUCUACAAUCUCGUACGUUUUUUUUUUGUUUUUUUUUUCAUGCUUAGCACAACCCUCCUUUUUUUCUCAAUUUGUUUUUCAAGGAAAAUGCUUAGUUCUUAGCCAUUCAAACCUUUUGACGCGAACUCCGACAUCUAUCAAAUGAAGGAGCCCGAUUACUCAACCCUCAUCGCUUAAAAUCACAUACUCAUAGCUAUCGUCGCUUUUUGACGAGAAAGUCAACACUUGUGGUGAAAACUUCUAGUUACUAGUUAACGAUAAGUAGCGGAGUAUAGCCAAAUACUAUUCAUAAAUAAGCACCAAAUUAAAAUUAAAAACCACACAAAUCCACUUCAUUUCUUAAACAUGGAGAACUAAAAUUAAUAGCUAAACCAAUUUGCACAAAAAAAUGCUAGACAAAUAUUUACAAUACUUAGAGAAGUUAACCAAAAAACACAAAAGUCAACAAAAUCUCAAAUAUUCAUCAAAGAGACAUCCUUAGAUUUAACUAUGUCAUACUUAACACCUUAGAGUAUAAAAAACUUAGCAAUAGAAAAUUUGAGACAUCUAACCAUUGUUAUAUCAGGAACAACCACAAAUAUGCACAAAGAUACACAAAAUUGGAUAAAAUUUGAAAAAGUAAAAUAAAAAAUUUCAACAAAAUUGCCUACACUUGCACUUUUUCAAUAUAUUACUCUCCCCCCACACCUAAAUAUUACAUUAUCCCUAAUAUAAUAAAUAAAGAAUCAAAAGAUGAAGUAAAAGAGAUAACGAAACUUCCCUAAAAACUGAGGAGGCCAGCAGACAGCUACAGGUGACGAGCAAAAGAUAUGUAGAGUUCGAUAGUGGCCAACCAAUCAUCCAGUUGAUGAACUUAUCCAUGCAAGUGUAGCAACUUGGCAUCGAGAGAUGAUGGUGGUGGAGGUGCGGAUGUAGACGAAAAUUGACAGAUCAUCGCUAUCAACUUAAAAAUUUCUGCUUUAAUGGCUUGAUGGCAAAGCUGAUAAAAUAAAGGUUAUGAUCGGCAGUCGAGAACGUCGGGUGGCUCACGAUGGAUGGGGAAGAAUCGCGUGUGAUGAGCAGCGAUAACAGCAAUCGAUGGGCAGCGAUGGAAUUUGAUGUCCUAAGGUUGCGGUCUUGUGGCUGGAAAAGGAAAGAAAGGAAGAAAAAGGAAAGAAAGAGAAGAAGAAAAGAGAAAGAAAGAAGAAAGAAAGAGAAAGAAAGAAAGAGAGAGAAAAAGAAAAGGGAAAAAGGAGAGGAAAAGGAAGAAAAAAGAAAGGAAAUUUUUUUUUGAUUUUUUUAACACUUUUCUAGGACAAGACGUGAGCACGUCCUGUUAGUAGAAACCCUUCUGACGAUGAAAUUGUUGAAUUAAAAGUUACCACGUGCCCUUUUGACAUAGGAACAUCAUAAUAGUCUAGACACUUCUGAUGAUGAAUUGGGAAAUUAGCUCAUUACCAUGUGUCCUUCUGACACGGGCACGUCAUGUUGGUGUAAAUGCUUCUAAUGGUGGAGUGUAUUUAUGCAUUACCACGUGCCUUCAAGAUGCAGGCAUGUGAGGACCUGAAAAUUUCUUUAUUUUCUAGUCAUUAUUUUAUUUUCUUGCAUACCAUUUCUAUACCUUUCUUUGUUGUAUUAACUUUUGAGUGAUAUUUAUAAGGGAAUUAAGUUAUUAAGACUUUUUUCCUGUACAACUUAGUCUAUGUGACGUUUGUAGUGUAUAUUGGACGUGGGACCCGCUAGUGUGAUUAAUUGUGAAGGUGUGUGUACUAAUUUUGGUGGUUAAGAAUAAGUUUUAGAUAAGAAAAAAAUGUGUGAUUAGAAGUAAUAAUAAUAAGUUAGUGAAUUGUGUCGCGCCCCAUUUUUAUAAGAAAAAUAAAUUAGUUUAGGAAAAUGAAUCUUUGAUUAAUUUUGAUUGAAAAAUGAGUUUUUGAUUUUUUAGAAAGUAAAGAAAAAUAUGGGUCUAAAUGGGACAUAAAAAUGCGACGAUUUUGACCCAAAAUAACAAUUUAAAAAGGGUUUUAAUGAAAAAAUCGGAGUCGCUACUUGGUAUCAAGUUAAGGUUUACCAAGUCACCUAAAAUUUUUUGAAUAAAAUUAUAGAAAAACCCUUGUAAACGACUCCUAAGUCUACGAAAAUCAGAGAAAGUGUUCGGGAGUCACAUUUGAUUAGAGGGAAGGCAAGGACGAAGUCCAAGGCACCCUCUCAAUCUAGCCAAGGCUAAUUGCGCGAUUUAGUCAAAAAUUUUCUUAUUUUACCCUCAAGAUUUAUCACAUUUGGAUGUACUAUAUGAAUGCAUACCCUAGACCUAGGAGGGUGUCGGGGAGUCAAAAUAUCUCUUCAAAAUUUAAUUGGUGCCAAUCACAUUAAUUGUAAUGUCCAAUAGUGACUCUUUGGAGAGGUCACGAAUAAUGCAAAAAUAUGAGAUUCUAAGAAAAGAAAAGGAAUAAAAUAAUAUAAAUACGAAUAUACAUGACCUACAGGAAUGCAUUAUGUCGGGUACGGGGGACUAAUGUUCAUGACUCAACUUUUCCUUUUAUAGAGGGAAUACGAGCGUGUUAAGGCUAAAAAGCCAAACUCAUCCAUAUCCCAUAUUCAAGGGAUUUUUCUUAUCUAAUAAUGCAAAUGUACUACCCUAACUCUAAUUCUUAAAUGAAAUGCAAGUCUAAUGUUAUGUAUCACACAUAGGGAUAUAUAAGGAAAUUUGGGAUAAUGGGUGUACGUAUAAAGGGAAUAUGGGAGGAAAAAUACAUAUAUAAGGGAAGUAUGGGAUAAGAGUUAUAUGUAUAGGGGAAAUAUGCAAAAAAUGACAAAAGACCCUAGAAAGUGAAAGAUGUGCAUGAUGUGAUGUAGUUAUACAAACAUGAUCUAGCGUAGGAGGCCCCUAAGGGUCUAGCGUUGGACUAACCCAUGUCUACAAAUUCUCACUAGCAUUGGACUAGUGAGAAAAUCGGAACAAAGAGCCACAACUAGCGUUGGACUAAUGUGGAUUCGAGAAAGGGGGCCACAACUAGCGUUGAAUUAGUGUGGUGACGACAUGCAUUUAUUACAAUCAAAUAAAUCAUGUAAGACCUAAUAAAAUCACGUGAUAUCACAUAAACACAUAACACAUAAUCAUGAUAUGUAGAUGUAAGGCCUUAAGAAAGCAGUAACACAUAGCACAUAGGCAUGCAAAAACACACAAGGCAAAUAAAGCCCUAACUAUUACAUUUAGGGGGCCCUACUACAAUCUAAAAGGGGAAAGGAAUAAAAAUAAAUAAAUAAACCCCUAACUAUUACAAUUUGGCAUUUAAAUGCCUUUCAAAUAAUUGAAAUUGAACUAAAAUAAAUAUCCAAAAUUAAAACAAAUAAAGCGAAUAAAUAAAUAAAUAAAAUGAAAACAUUCAAAAGGCAUGCAACAAAAUCACAUAAGGGCACAUAAAAUCAAUUAAAGUCAAAAUAAGGGAUAGAGUGUACCUCUCUUGAGUUGAUGCCCUAAUGAAAUGAAAUUAUUUAUUUACCCUCCAAAAACAAAGAAAAGGUCAAGGCAUCACUUUAAUUAACAAAAGAAUCACAUGAAAUGAAAAUAAACACGAAAUUAAAUCACUCAAAGCAUUCAAAUAAACUAAACAACCCAUAUUCAUCAAAUAAGGACCCAAUUGAAAGAAUUGUAAAAGUUUGAGGGAUCAAUUUAUUAUUAAAAUUAAAGAUUUAAGAUUAAACCUACAGAACCAAAAUGAUAAAAUUCACAAAAAUAAGAGAAAAACCUAUUUGCAACAAAAGUCCCUAAUAUUUAAUUGUUAUAUCAAAAAUCCAAAUGAAACUACAAAUCUAACGCUAAUUAUUAAACCUUCAGAAAUUCAUCCUAAAAUUUAUUAGAAAUCUAUCCAAAAAUCAUGUUAAGACAUAUUAAAAAGAAAUGGCAUGUUAAGGGGACACAAUUGAUCAAAUUGGUCAAUUAAUUGGGCCAAGGUGGAAUGAGGAGAAACAUGUGGGGUUGAAAUGCAAUUUUUGGAAGAUUUUCAUGCAUGCAAACCAAAGCCUUCGGCAAAAGCUGAAGUUGUUUUCCUUCUACCAUUUCUGCUGGAAUUUUUCAUGCGCAAGCCUCUGCAAUCCAAUAAAAACUUUCGGCAAGCAAGAUUCAUGCAAAACUUUGAUCCAUCUCUAAUUAGACAUGGCUAAACAUCUAUUAACAAAGGAAUUCUUGGAAGACUUUCAUGCAAGUUGCAUGCAAAAAAUAAGCUUCUGCAACCGAAAGAAUGUUUUUAAAACUUUUUCUCCUAUGCUAUUCAGUUUCAGCAGCCGCAAGCCACUCAUGGUUCGUGAGGUAAAAGAACAAUAUCAUGCCAAACCAUUAACCCAAUCACCUAGUUUUUGGUGAGCAUGCACUUCUGGAACGAGGAGAGACAAAUAACUCACGAAGGAAUAAAUAAUAGUUCAGCAAGAUGCAGACCAAUUCACUUCAAUCUUGCUGCAACUUACUCAUGAAGCAUGUUCAUACAAUCAACUUAAAUCCAACCUACCAAGUGUAAUGAUUUUCCACCCACUGAUGCCAUUACCUUAAGAUACAUCCCAACAGAUUUGAAAGUGCACAAAAUGCAGCAAAGAUGCAUAAGGAAAGAAACUAAAAAACACAACAGACUUCGCGCAACUUCCUUUCUACAAUUUCAGCAUGUAUAUAAACAUUUACACGCCCCAAUGAAACAUGUAGAUACCUCACCCAAUGCCCCAAAAAACUCCAACCCAACUUACUUUGAAUCAAACAGCGAAAUCAUAAUUUUAGUUACUGCCUUCACCCCCCCCCCAAAGAAAAUUUUACAAAAACUACGCUGCAUUCAUCUCGAAUCAAAAACCAACAUUGACUAAAAUAACCAAAUCUGAUGAACUAUACUUCUGGAACAAAUCAUACAUAACAUAGGCAAUCAAAGGAAGUCUUGCCGACAUUAGAAACUCCUACUUCGACACACCAAAAGGGAGCAGAAAAGAACUGCUGCAACAAGCUGAAAGCUUCGAGCUUGUUGCAGCUUUUUGCAAUCUUGACUUCAGCCAAACAAAAAACCACAAAUUCCAUGAGCAAGUUUAAACAAAGGUUCAUUUUUCGGAAAAAACUUUAACUGAACCCAAACAACCAUAAACAUAGCAAGGAUAAACACAACUUACGGAGAGGAAAUGCCAAAAAAACCUCUGAUGCAUCAAAAUCACAGAAACUUAUCAUACGGACAUGCAAAUCUUUUGUGAGAAAGGAAAGUUGUGCAGUCUUUUAGGUUCAUCGUUUCAAAGCACAAAAACCAGCAGCAAAUAAUACAAGAUCUACGUCCACAGGCUUGCAUUCUCCCUAAAACUAAUUAAAGUAACAAAAGAAGAAACGAUAGUUACCUCUGGACCGUGACGAAGGACAAUGAACGUCAAAUGUGUCGGAUUUCAAGGAAUCGCCUCACUUUCUUUGGAUCUCUUUCACUCUCGUUGGUUUUUUGUUGCCUGGUUCUUCUCUUUUAUGGCUCCUUAGUCUCCCGAGGAACUUCCUUCCUUUCCCGUAGGUUUCUUACCCACAGUUUUUUCAGAUUUCACCAAGCUAUCCUGAUUUCUCUCCGUUGCUGUUUCUCCCUUUUCUUCCUCGGCCAGCCCCCAGCUCUCCUCUCGUUUUCCAAUUUUCUUACUUUUUCUUUCUAGCCCUCAGCCAUACCUACCUCUUUUGCUCUUGGUCUCCUCUCGUUCCUCCUCGCAAGCUCUCCCCGCAACCCUCUAGUUUUUGUUCUCUUUCCGUAGCUAGUUUCUUGCCCUAGCCGCCCAAACGAAGCUCUCUCCUUUCUUAGUUUUUCCUCUGCUUCUUUGUUGUUUUCGUUCCUCCACCGCCAGCUUUUUUUUUUCCUUUCCUUCCAUUUUCCCGAAGCUUUUUUUUUUUUUUUUUUUGUCGAAACGAUAAGAUGAUCUCAUUACUUUAAUGGUAAAAAAAAAAUUACAAGUACGAGCAACAGCUCGAUCGAAACUCUACAAACUAGUGUUCUUUCUUGCCCCCCUAUUUUCUUUCUUUUUCAUCCGCUGCCCCCUUCUCGUGGCCUUUUUCCCUUUUUCCGGUCCUCCCCAAUCCUUUUUUUUUAUUUUUCUUUCCCCAAAAAUUCUCAAACCCACCAAGUGUCUAGACACCUUACCUUCUAGGUGUUGUGUUGUCAAACAAAAUAAAAGGGACACUUGUCCCUAUUGCAUGUAUCCCAUUUGUCAUUUUUCUUGAUUUGAUUUUUUCUUUAUUUUUUCAAAAUUUAGUGUUUAAAAAAUGCUUUUAAAAGAAAAGAAAAUGAUGAAUUUUAAUGUACCAAAAAUAAGAAUAAACACCAAUUACUAUUUGCAAUCUUAAAAAAAAUAAAAUAAUAAAUAUGAAACAAGAAUAAAUAAUAAUAAAAAUAAAAUUGAUUUAAAUAAACAAAGCUAAAAUUGAAUGAAUAAAGCUAAGUAAAUAAAGUAUAAAAUUGAAUUAAUGAAAUUUUUGGUGUCUACAAAUUGUAAAUGAAAACCCUAUUACACACGAUUUAAGGAAAAUUGAUUUGAACCGACGUGUACCGUUCGCUACCGAUUGAAUACACCACUUGACCACCACUUUAUUACCUUAAUCCUCUUCUUAUUAUUUCAUAAAUAUCAGCCCUUAAAUAUCCUAGAGAGAGAGCCAAAAUUAUUGACCAAAAAGAAAGGAAAAAGAAGAAAAAAUUUGACUUCCAAUCAAAGUGUGACACUUGUUAAAUUUAGACCCAAAUCAAUUCCUACCUUCUUAUUUUUUUGGAGCUUCAUUUCAGCCUUCAUUUCUGCACACUUGGGCGUGAGUUGAAAAGAGAAAAGAGAGGAAGGAAAGUUAGCAACUUCAUCUUGAAUCCAUCUUGUUUGAGUUGGAAUCCAAAAUCCAAAUCGAUUAAAUUUUCAUUUUAGUACUUAGGAAGCUUUGUGUGGUAAAAGUUAUGGAAGAAAAUGGUGUGGUUCUCACCUACAAGCACUCUUUGGAAGGUAUCUUGGUUGUCUUCCCUUUUUCUCUUUUUAAUCUUGCUAAAGUUUGGAUAAAAACUCUUAAUCUUGGGUUAUACUGGUUAAUUAGUGAAUUGUGCAGAUAUGAUGGAAUGUUUAGCUAGGGUUUACAUUUUCAGCUUUGAUUAUGGUUAUUUACCUAGUAAUUGAUGUUAUUGACCUAGUAAUUGAUGGUUUUAAUGAUAGGGUACUUGUUAGAUAUGAAUUUCUAGAAUAAAAGUUCAAAUUUCCAGCUUUAAGGUUGAAACUGCCCUGUUAUUGAUCUGUAUGUACGUCCAUGUUAGAGGCCGAAUCAGGCUUAGGUCAAAACAUGACAGUUGUAGGAAAUGGUGUUAAAUAGCUGCCUGAAAAAUUUCAACUCAAUUGGAGCACCGUAGCAUGUGAAAUGAUAAAAAUACCCUUGAGUGCCCAAUGUACUGUUUUGCGGACAGUUUUUUGUUUUCCUCUGAGAUGUCACAUUUUGAUAUCGAAAUGCAUUAAUUGGAUGUUGAUGUCUUCAUAAGAAAUUUAGUUCUCUGUUUUAGCUUCGAAACGAUAUAAAGUACCCCAAUCCGAUAAGCGUAGGUUCGGUUGUGACCGAAACGCCAAGAGAUGUCAAACCUGUUAUUUUGUUAUUUGUCUUGAACAUUAGUUCUGGUCGCAUUGCUAGUAUUGUUUUGUAAUUGAAUGACAUGGAACCUAGUGAAAGGCUAUUGUAGUAAGAUUAUUUGUGUGUGAUUCUGGGGCUGAAUUGAAGAAAAUAAUGAAGUCAUAAAUGGCUGGAAUAUAGGUAAAUACAAAGGACGUGCUGCCCAAAUUUUCACUCGAGAGCCAGUUGGAUGUACUCGCGACUUGAGCGAAUGUUUUAUGAUUGUUCAUUUUUUAAGACCAACUACUAUCUUUUUACUCCAACGCCACAUUGUUAUUUCUUUUCCCUAGUAGUUAACUUGACUAAGCAUACGACUUGUAGUUGAGCCUCAUUUGUGCAUUCCGUUCCUGGGUUUGUCGAUAAGGAAACCAUAAUUUUUUUUACCUUGGUUGUUGUUAGGACGUGACGGUGAUCAAAGCCAUCCUUUGGGAGAAAACUUUUGAAGUUAUCUUUGCUUGAACUGGUGAGUGUACCACUCCCCUGAUUUGUCACUUAACUAGUUGCUUUAUACUUGAAAUCUGUGACUUGAAUGACUAUGAACUCUGUUUAUUCUGAAUGAGACGAGGGUGUAUUUUAUUACACUCGUUCUCUUGCCUGUAUGAUCGUUUACUGUGUGAAUUUGAAUAUGUUAUCUGUGUCUGUUCUAACGUCAUUUGGAGGCUUGUAUCCAACGACCCUUCUGUGACCUCUGAGCUCAAAUCCUGUGGCUAGUUACUCAAGUCGAGUCGGCAAGGGUUUGAUCGAUUAGAUAACGAGCCACAGUAGUCUGUUUCUGGAAAAUCUUUGGGUAUUAGAGACUUUGGAUUUCCGGUAUACUCGAGUAUUGCUACCUCUGUUUUGUAUGUGGUGUUCGGACCCGGCCAGGGGUAUGUUCGGUGGACGGAAUUUGAUGUCAAGUGAGGUCUACGGUCAUGUUUGUGUCUUCAAACGUUGUCAGAGCAUCAACGAGUUGGGAUCAAAUACUCCAAUAGGAAUUUUGGCUCCUGAGAGCCAUCUGUAUCCCUUCUAUUGAGGUGUUUGUUCAUUUUCUUGUAUGUUGUGUAUAUGUGCCUUAAGAGUGAAAUGUCAUAAUUCUUGACUACUUGUACUUGUGGUAAUUCAUUGAGCGUAAGCUCACCCCAUUCCCGUUAUCUUUGUUUUCCUUACAGGGUUCAAUAUUUUGAGAGUUAUAAUUUUUAAAGAAAGAGUCGAGUUAGUGUAGACAUUCUUUUGAUCAUGCUCCUCUGUAAUCGAAACCCUAAUUGUAAUUUUGUAUAUGUAUGGUUACUAUGGCUUGUAUUUCAAGUUAACUUGUUGAAAACUCUAAUGUAUAUAUGUAUAUAAGUGGUUAAUCAAGGGUUUCAAGCGUAUUCAUAUGAAAUUGUAUGUUUCUAUGGUUAUGUGAACUUUCUUGUAUCCAUUGGGAAAAUCGAACGAGUGCAAAGCUUGAACGAGAAAGAAAAAAAUUUGGUCGGAUUUUGACGUGGCCGCAGUCCUUUGUGUUUUUGGAUGAUUCGUUUUCCCGAAGUUCGUUGAACCGUUUGGUAAGGUUUAUGAAUGAUUUGAUCCGUAGUCCUGACGAGAGUUGGGCAGGUGGUCCGCCAACCCUUUGGUUCGCCUUAGGAGGAGGUGGGGCCGUCACAGAUGGUAUCAGAGCUGUUUCACAUGGUCUCUGCACAGAGUAAGUUUGGGCCGAGUGGUGUUAUGGUCCUGAUAUGGUGAAUGAGUGUAAAGGACUAAGUGCUCUUUUGCGCAUAAGCUAUGGAUCGUGAAAUGUUAUAGGUUUCAAACAUUUAUCAUGGUACUUGGAGAUAAUAGAUAUGUAUAUUAGGUAGGAAUCUCAAAUGUAGAUGAUUUACUUUUAGGACUGGCCAGUUCAAGUUGUAAAUUAUCUUAGUUUGGAUUUUUGUACCUAAAUACUAAAGAUGAAAGCCUAAAUUAGAAAUGAUUUGGGCGAGUUAGAACUUUGAUUCUACGAAAUUUCAUGUGAUGUGUUAAGGUAUCAUUAAGUAUGAUUAACCCUGUCUACGAUAUAAACUGCGUUAUUCUUGUUGGUUACGGACAGAGCUCCUAGAGAGGGAAACACACCUAGUUCUACCCAUGAGGGAGAGUUCGUUAGCUCGAUUGGGAAUUAGGUUAGACCUCCUGUAAGCCAUGUUUGAUUCCAUGCGAGGGGCAGUUAGGAAAGCUCAGAUGAUUUUGUACUUCUGGCCUAGUUUCUAUAUUGUACUUUUGAAUGACCCCCUAUUUUCAUGAGAUUACUUUUGUUUGUGUCUGACUGUUACUGUGUGAUAUAUAUGCUAAAGUUGUGUUAACUGUUUGAUUUUUGACUUGUGUGUAUUGUUGUAACUUGUCCAUGCAUUUAUCUCUCUUUCAUAUUACCUUCGCGCUUCGACCUUAGAUUGGUUAAAUCGAAUGAAAGGUACUCGUAGUGGAUGAGGCCGUGGGCGCGGAUCGAGGCAAUCCAUGAAUGAAGAGGGUAACCGUGAACCAGUACCUGAAUAGAAUUCUAGAUCGGGAAUUGACCCUAAUGUUCAGUAACCGCUGCUAUUCAGCAUAUGACCGAUCUGUUGGCCCACAUAGUGAAGCAUCAGGGCCAAAACCCUAUUCUUCAAUCUGAAAAUCUUGGAAACCAUAUAGAAGGUGAGGAUAGGGCCCUCGAACGAUUUCAAAAGUUUUCUCCACCACUACAAGAAAUUUGGUCUUCAGUGACAAGCCAUUUUUGUCACAAAAAAAUAAAAAGUCGUCACUGAUAACUUUUAUUGACAACUUUCUAGUUGUCAUAGAGUCGUCACUGAAGGCCCGUCGGUAAAAGUAUAUAGUGACGACAAUAAAAGUCGUCAGUGAAUGGAACUCUUUUGUGACAACUGAUGUCGUCAAUAAUUAUUGUAAUUUUAGUGAUGACAUAGUAUCUUGUCAAUGAUGUACAAAUAAAUGUCGUCACUAAAAGUGAUAUGUAAUUGUCAUUGGUAUAAACUAAUUACUGACGACUUUUGUUGUCACUAAACACUUUUUAAUUCUAUGACCGCAGAUUGUUAUUAAUGGAAAAUUCUGAUUCAAUGAUAACUCUUUAUCACCAUGAAAAUUGAAAAUUUUCCUACAACAAUUAUAUCUAUAAAUGGAAAAAAAUGACAAUGAUUUAUAAUUAGCAAAUGAAUGCAUCCAUUGCAUUACGAAAUGUCAAAAUAUCAUAUAAGCAUUCAAAUAUCAUAAUGAAGUUCAACAACACCCUAUAGAUAGUUUGAUAAGUGGUAUUUGGCCUAAAUUUCACAUAUAACUCGAGGUAGCUUUACAAAACAAAUCCAAGUCCCAAAUUUCAACACAAAGCUGCUUCAGCAACACUCAGCUCCUCCCCUCAACACUCCGCUCCUCCCCUCAGGUAAAAGAUUUGUAAGGCAGUUUUCAGCAAUGGCUCCUAAAGCUGACACCACAAAAAAGCUUGAUACAAAGGCUCAGGCAGCCAAGGUUGCCAAAUUUGUCAAAUCUGGGACAACUUUUAAGAAGAAAGCCAAGAAGAUCCGGACCAAAGUUACCUUCCAUCGUCCUAAGACAUUCAAAAUCAAAAUCAAAAUCAGCCCCAAAGAAAAUCAAAAUCAGCCCCAAACUAAUGCACCAAAUUGGCUCAAGAAAUAAGUACUGCUAUUAAACUUCAGCCUCAAAGGAAUAAUAUAACAAGUUGAUAAGGCACAAGCACUACUAUAACAAGUACUGAUAUAAGUACUGCUAUGAACAAUAUAACCAGUGGAUAAGACGAUAAGUACAACACUAAAGGAAAAGCAACUUCAGUUCACUUGCUUAGCUAAAACAUUCAAAUAAACUAAACUAAACUAAACCAAAACAAUCCAAACUAAUGCACCACAGAGGAUACAAGGUGUCAAGUAUGAUAACCAAAGUAAUGUCGAUCAUGAUAUAAGGUGUCAAGUAGGAGCAAUGUGUACCAACAUAACUAGAAUGUUUCUUUGCCAUUUAAAAGCAAAUAACAACUUUCUUGUUCUACAUCUCUGAAAUUACUUUUGCUGUUUGUCAUGGUGUAUUAAUUCCAUAGAAAACCAACACCCCUUAAUAUUGUAUUCCAAUCAAACUAGUGAGUUAGGCAAGUGGCGGGAUGUGACGGCCCCACAUCCCCCUAAGGCGAACCAAAGGGUUCGACGGGCCGCCUGCCCAACUCUCGCCGGGACUCAGUCGUUCCCUAUAGUCCUCAAAUAGAUUACAAUAUAAAUUUCAAAUAUUACAUCAAAUGUUCCAACAUUUUCAUAUCAAAAGCGAAGCGUCCACGCUUCCACUGCGCCACUCUGAUCCAUGAUCCCAAUUCUUAUAUAAGAGGAAUUCCAUAACAAUAAAAUCACAACAAGCCUUCCUUCGCCACGAGCCCUGUGAAGGGGAAUAAAAUAGUUUUGGGGUGAACUAAAAGCUCAGCGAGUAACCAGAAAAAUCAGUAAUCAAAUCGGUUUCACAAUAGUUCAUUUCAAUGAUGUCAUAUAUCAAUGAUGUCAUAAAUCAAAUGAUAAGUCCAGAAACAACUACAACAUUUGCAAAACAGUAAAUAUGGAGUAUCAAUAAUUCAAGAAACAUUUACAAUGGAAAGCGAUAGUAACAUUCAUGAGAAAGAUACGUUCGUUCUCCGACAUUUCCUCCUUCCUUCAAACUUUUGAAAAAUGCAUUUUCGUUUCUUUUAUAAAUAAAUGCCUCGCUCAUUUGGUCAUUCAUUUCAUUCACCAGACUCCACCAACCUCCACCAACCUACAAAGGUAAUACUCGAGUAUACCAAACGUUCACCCAAGUCCCUAAUCGCCCGACCGAGACCGUUUCUGGCUCGAGACGACCGGUAACAAGGGGCAAUGGCCAGUUCAGCCCAAAAGGCUUAUAUCAUGCGCAACUAGCAUUUCAAUAAUUAAAUCCUUGAAAACUGCACAGUUAUUUAGGUCGAAUGCGAUAAAGUACACACUCGCCUAGAAAGCUCGUUUUGGAAAUCAUUCAAAACACUUAACACGUUAUCAAUCAAUAAUACAAGUCAUGAAAUCAAGAAAAUAUAGCAAAUAAGGAACACUCAUAUGCAAGCACGCAUGAUAUGCAAGAAAACAGUUCAAAAGUAACUUUGGAAAUAGUUUAAAGGUAAAUAAUGCAAGAAAACGGUACAAAAGUAACUUUGGAAACAGUUCAAAAGUAAAUAAUGCAGGAAACGGUUCAUAAAUAACUUCAGAAAUAGUUUGAGGUCACUCACCUCCAUGGCUCAGAAAUCAUCCAUCAUAUAACAUUGCCUUGCUCAAAUCCAAGUCUUAGAUCACAAACUCAAAGCAAUCAAACCCUUUAAAACUUCGGACAGCACUUCCCCUAAAUUUGCUUACUUUCCCAGCCAUCAUGGCUUCAUUAUAUCUUCAGCCAGUCCCAAAGGUACACACACAACAACAAGUUCAUCCAAUAGCCAUUCAGCAAGCUCCAAGUAAUACGAGUACAAUUCAAGCUAGGGAAAAGUUCGGAAAUGAAAGUUAAGCUCAAAAUCAGAAAAACGGUUUUGACGUCAUUUUGCGGUAAUGGUACCAAAGGCGUUACGAUUGUCGGAUGAAGGUGCAAGAUCCACCGUUUCGAAGCUAAGAGACAGGGCUACAAUAUUACAGAAGGCCACUCAACCCAGUUUCGAGUGUAACCAGGUCAAAAAUACAAGAAACUACACCAGAAUCACAAAAACAGCUUCACAGAACGCAUUCUAGCGGAAACAUCAUAACUCAGGCUCUCCAAGUCCAAAUCCAGAAAUUCCAAAACCAGAUGAUAGCUAAGAAAUAGGGAUAAAUUUCAUUAGAAGGCCUCAAAAACUAAUUCGGAAGUAUUCCUGACCAAAACAACCAAUUACAGAAGCAAUUCCCAAAUUCGGGUAAAACCAGGACAGCAAGGGGAAUUCCAUUUUUUCACAAGCUACGCUACUCCGAUUGAUCUGAAAUUUUGUAGACACCUCUAAAAUAUCAUUCCCUACAACUUUUAUGUUUUAAGCUAAGGCCAAUUCGGCCUCUAACUAGGAGCUAAAAAUUCGGACAGAAUGUUCCUUCACAAAACCUAAUUUUCUGAAAUUUCUUCCAAAACAGAAAUUGAUUGCAAUUGACCACUUUUUCCACCUCAUAGAGUCCUAAAACAUCAUUUCCAAUCAUCAUAUAUAACCACACAACCAUGUUCAUAUUAAAACAGAAAAAUCCCCAAAAAUUAUAAAACUUCAUCAAGUCAACCACAACUCAAGAUAUAAUCCAUCAAACCAUCUCUUUAGCCAUCACAAGUCACUAAUUUAGCAUAAUCAAGAACAAAGAAAGGAUUGCUGGACAUGAACCUUGAAAUAUCUAGAAAUUUGAUGGCUUAGUCCUUUGCCUUCUCUAAUCACUCCACCACUACCUUCAAUCUUCCUAAACAAGUGACUUUUGUGGAGGAAUUUGAAAGUUUAACGGUUGAUUCACAAGAUUGAGCAAGAAAUGGAGUUGGAGUUGAAGGCUUUCUUCUUGUAUUUUUGCUCCAAGAGGUUCGGCCAAGCUUGCAGAAAUUUAGGUGUUUUUUGGGUCAAAAUUGAGUAUUAGUAAAGGUAAGAAAUAAUGGUCAAAGUCAAGGUUGAAUAGGAGGUGACACUUGUCACCCUUAGGUUUAAAACUUAUCUUUUUGUCUCUCCAAUACAAAUAUCUUAACACUUUGUAAAAUAAUAUCACUUAAUACAAAAUUCCAACAAGUUGUCAAAAAUAUAAUGCAUUUACCGCACUAGCGGGUCACACGUUCAAAAUACGCUCUUAAUUUCUCAAAAACUAAUCGAUACUAGAAAAAUCAUUUUAAAACUAUCUUUGCUCAUAAACUUUAUUUGGGAAAUUUUUCUAAUCAAGAAAAUGUAGAAAAGGCGGGCGAUUAAAAAAAAUAAACCCUAGAAAAUUAGAAAAUUUCCGGGUUUUCACUCUCAUUCUUUUCGGGGCGUCACAAACUCCCCUCCUUAAAAGAAUGUCGUCCUCGACAUUCCCUCUUGUACUAAUCAGAUCAAGAUAUCCCUCAAGAAUCACUAAUAUUGCAAACCAAACCCACAGUCCAGCAUCCUAAACUUCAAGCCUAAGAUACACUAUAGAGAUCUGAAGCCUAAGCUCUGAUACCAACUGUGACGGCCCCACAUCCCCCUAAGGCGAACCAAAGGGUUCGGCGGGCCGCCUGCCCAGCUCUCGCCGGGACUCAGUCGUUCCCUAUAGUCCUCAAAUAGAUUACAAUAUAAAUUUCAAAUAUUACAUCAAAUGUUUCAACAUUUUCAUAUCAAAAGCGAAGCGUCCACGCUUCCACUGCACCACUCUGAUCCAUGAUCCCAAUUCUUAUACAAGAGGAAUUCCAUAACAAUAAAAUCACAACAAGCCUUCUUUCGCCACGAGCCCUGUGGAGAGGAAUAAAAUAGUUUUGGGGUGAGCUAAAAGCUCAGCGAGUAACCAGAAAAAUCAGUAAUCAAAUCGGUUUCACAAUAGUUCAUUUCAAUGAUGUCAUAUAUCAAUGAUGUCAUAAAUCAAAUGAUAAGUCCAGAAACAACUACAACAUUUGCAAAACAGUAAAUAUGGAGUAUCAAUAAUUCAAGAAACAUUUAUAAUGGAAAGCGAUAGUAACAUUCAUGAAAAAGAUACGUUCGUUCUCCUGACAUUUCCUCCUUCCUUCAAACUUUUGAAAAAUGCAUUUUCGUUUCUUUUGUAAAUAAAUGCCUCGCUCAUUUGGUCAUUCAUUUCAUUCACCAGACUCCACCAACCUCCACCAACCUACAAAGGUAAUACUCGAGUAUACCAAACAUUCACCCAAGUCCCUAAUCGCCCGACCGAGACCGUUUCUGGCUCGAGACGACCGGUAACAAAGGACAAUGGCCAAUUCAGCCCAAAAGGCUUGCAUCAUGCGCAACUAGCAUUUCAAUAUUUAAAUCCUUGAAAACUGCACAGUUAUUUAGGUCGAGUGCGAUAAAGUGCACACUCGCCUAGAAAGCUCGUUUUGGAAAUCAUUCAAAACACUUAACACGUUAUCAAUCAAUAAUACAAGUCAUGAAGUCAAGAAAAUAUAGCAAAUAAGGAACACUCAUAUGCAAGCACGCAUGAUAUGCAAGAAAACAGUUCAAAAGUAACUUUGGAAACAGUUUAAAGGUAAAUAAUGCUAGAAAACGGUACAAAAGUAACUUUGGAAACAGUUCAAAAGUAAAUAAUGCAGGAAACGGUUCAUAAAUAACUUCAGAAAUAGUUUGAGGUCACUCACCUCCAUAGCUCAGAAAUCAUCCAUCAUAUAACAUUGCCUUGCUCAAAUCCAAGUCUUAGAUCACAAACUCAAAGCAAUCAAACCCUUUAAAACUUCGGACAACACUUCCCCUAAAUUUGCUUACUUUCCCAGCCAUCAUGGCUUCAUUAUAUCUUCAGCCAGUCCCAAAGGUACACACACAACAACAAGUUCAUCCAAUAGCCAUUCAGCAAGCUCCAAGUAAUACGAGUACAAUUGAAGCUAGGGAAAAGUUCGGAAAUGAAAGUUAAGCUCAAAACCAGAAAAAACAGUUUUGGCGUCAUUUUACGGUAAUAGUACCAAAGGCGUUACGAUUGUCGGAUGAAAGUGCAAGACCCGCCAUUUUGAAGCUAAGAGACAGGGCUACAAUAUUAUAGAAGGUCACUCAACCCAGUUUCGAGUGUAACCAGGUCAAAAAUGCAAGAAAAUACACCAAAAGCAGAAAAACAGAUUCACAGAACGUAUUCUAGCGGAAACAUCAUAAAUCAGGCUAUCCAAGUCCAAAUCCAGAAAUUCCAAAACCAGCUGAAAGCUAAGAAACAGGGCUAAAUUUCAUUAGAAGGCCUCAACAACCAAUUCGGAAGCAAUUCCAGCCAAAACAACCAAUUACAGGCGCAAUUCUUACAUUCGGGUAAAACCAGAACAGCAAUUGUAAUUUCGACUUUUCUCAUUACACACUACUCCGAUUGACCUGAAAUUUUGUAGGCACCUCUAAAAUAUCAUUCCCUACAACGUUUAUGUUUUAAGGUAAGGCCAAUUCAGCCUCUAACUAGGAGCUAAAAAUUCGGGCAGAAUGUUCCUUCACAAAACCUAAUUUUCUGAAAUUUCUUCCAAAACAGAAAUUGAUUGCAAUUGACCACUUUUUCCACCUCAUAGAGUCCUUAAACAUCAUUUCCAAUCAUCAUAUAUAACCACACAACCAUGUUCAUAUUAAAACAGAAAAAUCCCCAAAAAUUAUAAAAUUUCAUCAAGUCAACCACAACUCAAGAUAUAAUCCAUCAAACCAUCUCUUUAGCCAUUACAAGUUACUAAUUUAGCAUAAUCAAGAACAAAGAAAGGAUUGCUAGACAUGAACCUUGAAAUAUCAAGAAAGUUGAUGGCUUAGUCCUUUGCCUUCUCUAAUCACUCCACCACUACCUUCAAUCUUCCUUAACAAGUGACUUUUGUGGAGGAAUUUGAAAGUUUAACGGUUGAUUCACAAGAUUGAGCAAGAAAUGGAGUUGGAGUUGAAGGCUUUCUUCUUGUAUUUUUGCUCCAAGAGGUUCGGCCAAGCUUGGAGAAAUUUAGGUGCUUUUUGGAUCAAAAUUGAGUAUUAGUAAAGGUAAGAAAUAAUGGUCAAAGUCAAGGUUGAAUAGGAAGGUGACACUUGUCACCCUUAGGUUUAAAACUUAUCUUUUUGUCUCUCCAAUACAAAUAUCUUAACACUUUGUAAAAUAAUAUCACUUAAUACAAAAUUUCAACAAAUUGUCAAAAAUAUAAUGCAUUUACCGCACUAGCGGGUCCCACGUUCAAAAUACGCUCUUAAUUUCGCAAAAACUAACCGAUACUAGAAAAAUCAUUUUAAAACUAUCUUUGCUCAUAAACUUUAUUUGGGAAAUUUUUCUAAUCAAGAAAAUGUAGAAAAGGCGGGCGAUUAAAAAAAAACUCUAGAAAAUUAGAAAAUUUUCGGGUUCUCACUCUCAUUCUUUUCGGGGCGUCACACGGGACAUUGCAAAAUAUUCACAGUGAAAUUUACUUCAAGAAUGGCACCAAAAAUGGGAACCAUUCAUGUGAAAAGAAAAGGAAUUACCUCAAGGAAUGCCUUCAAAACCCAUAUAAAAGUUAGUACUAUUACUCCAUUAACAGAAAAUCCAACCUACAUCCAGCAAAAAGUUUGUGAUUAUACAGUAUAAAAUAAUGCUAUAUGGAGAACAAACUACCAUGUAAGACAUGAAACUAUCAAUAAUUAGCAAUUAACUGUGGCAAGAUGUACACUUCUCAAUUUAGCAUUAUUCCAAGUAGAAGAGGCAAAGCCAUAUUAAUUUGAAAAGGGACAUAUAGAUAGCUGGGGAAGAUGGAAAACAGGUUUUAUAGUGAAUAUUGGGCUAAUAGAGAAUAUGAUAGCACUUAACAGAGCUGUGGGGAGUACUCAAAAGGAUAAAAAUGGCUUGGAACUCUGGAGAAAAAAGAGUGAUUCUGGACACGAAUUGCAAGGCAGCUUUCGAACUAAUACAAGGAGCAGGACAAGACUCACCACUAUACGAUCUAAUAUGUCAGAUCAGGAAUGUUUUAAGCAAGGAUCGGGAAUCCUGGCUACAACAUGUUUGGAGAAAGAAGUAAGUGUGCAGACUAGCUAGCUAAAAGUAGUGUCAACAAAGAAUCUGGGAUGCAGAUUAUAACAGAACCGCCACAGGAACUUAGUGAAUUGCGUGGUGCAAAUAUUUUAGGGGCUGCGACCCUAUGUUUUGUUUCUGUUUAAGAGGAUUGACCUCUCCCUUGUAAACUUAACAAAAGGAACAUACUAGGCAGAGAAGUAAAUGUGGUCAACACAUUUGCAAGCAAAACAUUUUGGCCAAAGCACCUUUGCCCUUAAAAAAUAGUGAAACAUGUGAAAUUCAGCACAAGUAAGGCUAACAAGUAUAUUCUGGAGAAUCAUGGACUCUCAAAACAUAUCAUAAGAAGCUGUCCAUGCUGUUCUAAUAACAUUCCUAGUUCAUGAAUUUUUACCGAGGAAGAUCUUUUUUCACAUCAAAACUAAUUGAUGAGUUUUGGUCCUCUUACCAAGCUCUUCCAAAAUGAUACUAGUACAAGUCCUUAAGUAGACUUGAGAUGCAGCCUUAGAACUCUAUCACCAGAUUUCUCAGUCACCAGAUGCAACACCUUAGACUUGAGAUGCAACCUUAGAGGUUUGUGUUCUAGAAUGAAUUUAUAAGUUAGCAGAAAAAAAAAGUCUACAGUAUCUUAACUUGCAGGACUACAUCCAUAGCUAAUAUACAGCUUUUAAGGCAAAGUACAAAUGCAAUGAUUUGGAGCAACUUGUCCAGGUUUCUAAAAAAAUAAAUAAAUGGAAACAAAGGAAAUGAGAGUCGAUUUGUGAGUGCGCACAUUUACACAAAGAUAGAGCACUUCCAACAGGGGGGAUGUAAUACAUUUCAUUCAGUUCUCCACAGAAUCGAAAUUAACUGCAUUUCUGGUCAUUAAUUAACCACACAUUGUACCAACUUUCUUUGCUAAACUUGUCAUAAUACCUGUUACAACAAUGACGAUAAAGACAGCCAACGCAAUACUUCCACCAUCAUACCAUCCUUCUUUUAUACCCUGGAAAACAACAUAUUAGACUAUGGCAAGACCAAAUCAAAAUUAACCAAUCAAAACAUGUCAGCAUUUUCCAUUUUCCACUCAGAUUAGCUAGUAAAUCACAAGUAUAUUAAAAAAUACUUUAAUCUAUAAGAAUUUGAUAGGGACAGAUACCAUUCUUGUCAGAAAAUCAAAAGACAAGAUUUAAAAUUCAUACAACUAACAAAAUCAUGAUCUCAAACAUAUAGUAGUACAACAAAAUUAUUAAACAGAAAAAACUUUAUAGGGCUUACAAUUCUCAAUUCAAAAUAAGUAUUAAGAGUGAACUUAUCCUUAAAAUUAAAAUAAUAAUAAUAAUAAUUAGAGCAAACUCAAAAAUUAAGCUUACCUCUGUCUUUAUCCCAAGGGCCAAAGAAGCAGCCGCAGCUACCAUCAAGAUGAUUAAAGUAGUGUCUCGACAAGCUUCCCACAGAAACCUCUAUAACACAACUCACAAAUAAGCAAGUUAACGAGGCACAGCUCAUGAUGCAAAUGGUUCAAUAACUCAACGAUUUGCAGUAACAUACCCAAAUCUUCAAAAUAAGAACAUGCUGCUAAUGUUCAAUUAGACUAGUAACAAUAAAGUUUAUAAAAAAGAGGGGGGGAAUUUCCCUCAGUCACCGCCGGCUUGGUGCAGGUGUUCUUCUUGCGCUUCUUGGCGCCACCGUCGAGGUGGAGGACAAGGUGGAGGGCUGACUCCUUCUGGAUGUUGCAGUCGACUAGGGUGCGGCUGUCCUCGAGCUGCUUGCCAGUGAAGAUGAGGUGCUGCUGGUCCCGGGGAUGCCCUCCUUGUCCUGGGCAGAAAAUUUUUUUUUUAAAAAAAUUAGGGCAAUAAAAUUUGGGGAGAAAUUGAAACAAUUGAUCAUCUAAGUAGGGUAGAAAAGGUGAUUGCAAAUGAUGGUGAUUGCUAAUUAGGGUAAGAAACUUUGGGGAAACUAGACAAAUGAUAGAGAAGAAGAGAAUUUACCCAAAAAUUGAAUGUUGGGAACACAAAAUCGGGUCAAUAAAAAUUGGGGGAAAUUGAUUACUAAGCAAGAAGAGAGAAACUUGCCUUUUUACAGCACAUGCUCUGAGGAAACAUAUCAAAAUCAGUAGCCCAAUAAGGAGGAAUGCUCGAUGUGAGAACCCGUAAAACCCUAAUUACUUUCCUAGGGUUUAUUUUCCCUUACUUGCAUGUUUUCUGCAUUUUCUGGUUUAGAAAUAUUUUCUUAGUGGAUUUUAUGAGCAAUUAUAGUUUUAAGAUGAUUUUUUCUAGCAUUGGAGAAAUUUUAGAAAAUUAAGAGUAAAUAGUGGACGUGGGACCCACUAGUGCGAAAAGUUCGGAAAAAUUCGGCCAAUAAGGUUAAGUUUCGGAUACUGUGUAAAAUUUAUCGGGUGUUAAGAGAUAAGUAGUGUGUGUGAAGUGAUUGAUGUGAGAGAGAAAAGAAAGAUAAGAAGGCAUUAAUGGAGGUGACAAGUGUCACUUUCUUAUUGGAUACCUUUUAAGAAUUACUAUUCACAAUUUUGACUUUUUUGACCAAAGGUUAAAUAUCCAAAAAAAUCACAAAAUUUCCUCAUUUUUCUUUCUCCUUGGCCGGCUCCCUCUCACUCUCUUGCAAGAAGAAGAACUCUUCAAUCUUCAAGCUUUCUACUAGUACAUCAUCUAAAUCAACCAAAUAAACAAGAUUCCACUCCAUAAAAUCCUACCUUCUAGUGCUAGUAAGGGUUGUAGUGAAGUUGUUUUGAAGAGCAAAGGUGUCCACAAUCUUUCUUUCCCUUGUUUCUUGGUAAGUGAUGCUACAACCUCUCCCCUAUACCUAAUGAUGGUUAUAUUAUGCGUAAUGGUGGCAUGAGUGAAGGAAUAUAUGAUUUGUUUCUUGAUUUGGCUUGUUUUGGUGAAACUUUUAUUUUAUUGGAAAUUUUUCUGGUUUAAUAUGAAUGGGAUGUUGUGGCAUUGUAUGAUGAAUGGUAAUGGUUGACAAUGACUCUAUGAGGUGUAUUGGAUAGGAAAAUGCAAUCAAUUUUGGAUUUGGUGUGAAAAUUGAAAAGCUAGGGUUCUUAACUCCCCAAUUCUGUCCGGUUUUGGAUCAUAGGGUUAGAGGCCAAAUUGGACUUUGCUCAAAACAUGAAAGUUUUAGGUAUUGAUGUGUUUAAGGUUUCUGUAAAAUUUCAGGUCAUUUGAAUGAGUGUGGAGUGAGUUAUACCAUUUUUACUGUAGCUGUCCUGCUUUGAGCAGAAUGCGAAAACUGCGAUAGUAAUUGGCCAUUUUGACUGGAAUUGGUUUGGAUUUUGGAGUUGGUGUCUUCUGAUGAAAUGUAGCUGAAUGUCUUAGCUAACAUAUGCUUUUGGAAUUUCGGCAUUUGGACUUGUAUGGACUGAGAUAUACCGAUUACAGUUUUCUGCAUUUUACAAACCUGUUUUGGGAAUUCUGGUAUAGUAUUUCGUAUAUUUGACCUAGUUGUGUUAGGAACUGGAUUGAAUGACCUUCUACAAUGUUGUAACCCUGUUUCUUGGCUUCGAAACGGUGGGUCUUACACCCCCAUCCGAUAACCGUAGUGAAAUUGACGCCAUUACCGCAUAAUAAGUGUAAAACAGUUUUUCCUAAUCGGGGCCAAGACUAUUGCUAAUUUUAAUUUCUGGUUUGCUAUCGUGUUCAUUUAUGCAUAUGAAACCCUAUUGGGGUUGUGUUUAGCAUUGUUUAGUGACUCGUUCUCGAGUCUCAUUGUAUGUGUUACAUGUUUUAGGGCGUGACGGUAGCUCACGACGUCUUGGUGACCACGGUGUAUGAAACACCACUUUCUCACUUGGUGAGUAUACUACUCACUAAAUGGUUACUAUGUGGCUUUGCUAAAUGCUUAUGUGAUGCCUUGAAGGCUUACUUGCAUAUUGGAAUUGAUUAAGGUGAGGGUGUACUUGACCGCCCUCACCUCUUUUGAUAUUGUCAUUGAUUGGCUACCGUUUUAUUGCAUUAUUGAACUUGAUAUAUUGGUUGGUGAAUUCCAUUUCAUGGAAACUGAAUUGAUGUCGUUUGGACGAUGUCCAACGGCCUUACUGCAUUACUGAGCUCAAUCCCGUUUGGUAGUCAAUCGAAUCGAGCCGGCGAGGGCUUGGUCGUGAAGAUUGAAUUGCCACGGGGACUGUACUGGGGAACCUUGUGGUAAUGAGACCCUUGGUUUCGGUAAACUCGAGUAUUACCAAAACUACUGAAAUGAAGUGCGGGCCCGGUUGGGGUAUGUUAGGUGGAAGGAUUGGAAGUAAAGGGUGGUCUACGGUUUGGUAAUUUUAACAUUGACGGAGAGUCAAUGAGGUUGGAUCAAGAUUGCAAGCGUGGAAAUGGGCUCUUGAGAGCCGACCGUAUCCUUUUACCGUUUUGCUUCAUUGCUUAUUUGUGCACUUUAAAUGAAAGUCAUUUUUAUAUGACUGUGAUUGCUUAUUGGGUGGUAUACCACUGGGCUUUAGCUCAUACCGUGCCAUUUGUUUUCCUUACAGGAAAAUGAAAACUUUUGGAAAGGAUUUUGAUAGUUGGAUGACAAGUUGAGCUCUUGUACAUGUAAUUUUGUUUAGCUCCUUGAGGGUGAUAACCCUAAGUGUAUAGCUUUCUUUAAUGAAGGGCUUGUGUUGGCCUAAUUGUAUUGGUAUGAACUAAUGGGAUAGCUUGUACGCCGUUUGGCUUGUAAAUGUUGAUUUCCAAUGUAUUUAUAUGCUUGGCUGUGAUUCGGAUAAUUUUCGGAUCGAGAUGACUUCAAACGAAAACGGAAAAAAUUUUGCCGCAGAUGAACAGUGCCAAAUCCGGCCAGGAAUCCGGCUAGAAACUGGCCGGAUUGAAGGCCGGAUUGCCUGUGAAAAUUUGGAAAUCCGGCCAGACAAUCCGGCCGGAAUCUUGGCCGGAUUGCCGGCCGGAUUGCGAAGGGGAUAAGAAAAUUUUUGGCCAACUCUCUGGCCAGUAUCCGGCCAGGAAUCCGGCCGGAUUCUGUCGUGCAUUUCACUAUUCAUUUCGGCUUCAAUUUUCGUUUUUUUUUUAUUUUGCGAUUGUGGCUUGUUUGCGCACUAUGGGAUGUUCCGGAACGUUAUAGAUUGACGUAAACUGUACUGUUAGUCCUGGCGAGAGUUGGGCAGGCAGUCCGCUAACCUCUUUGGUUCGCCUUAGGGGAAGGUGGGGCUGUCACAGGUGGUAUCAGAGCCUAGGUUUGAAUUAGCCUGGGUGUUAUAGGAAUGCUUGAUCUGAGGGUUUAUUGUUUAUGGUUUUUAAGCUUAUUGAUUCUUAUUUUUACACUUUUGGUGUAGGAUGGACAGUUCCAGUGGACCUAGUGAUGGCCCUGCGGCCAAGCGACCCCGUGUACCGCUCCCGAUGAUUAAGUACCAGAUCCGGCCAAAGGGGGCCGUUAUUCGUUGGAGCCCGUCUAAUCGUCUUCGGCGGUGCGCGUGUAAAGAGAAGUAUGCUUACCCGAAUGCCCUCGUUUUGGCAGUUGUGAAGGAAAGAAAGGAGCUGGCAAAAGCUAAUGCCAAGCUUGAGGUUGAGGUGAAUCAGUUAAAGACGGCCAACGAGGGGCAAGCCAAAAGGAUAGAGGAUCUGAAGUACGAUGUACUAGAGGCGGAGGAUAGAGUCGAUGACCUCUGUGCCCAGCUGAGGGAGGCGCGUGAGCGCGAGUCUAAGAGGGCUCGGAAGGUGAGGACUCGAGCCGCUGCAAUCCUAAACCUCUGUGCCGAGGUGGUGGAAGGAGUGAGCGAUAAGGACUCCUAUGCGGGGUCGGAGGCUAGGGUUGGAUCCACUCCGUCGAGUGGGUCUCAUAGCUCAUCUUCGGGCUAGGUUAUGACUCCUAGAGUUGUUAUAGAUAGUUUUGGUCUUGUGUAUAGGGCUGUAAGUCCCACAGACAACCAAGAGGGGGGGUGAAUUGGGUUGAUUAAAAUCUUAACCAAGUUUAUGCACUUUUUCUUUAAUGAAAAUUUACCUUCCUUUUUAGUAAUGAUCAACCAAGUAGAUUUGAAGACAAUAGCAAUAUUGAUCAGAGAAGCAAGUAUAGAUAAGCAAUGAAGAUUUUAUUAAACAGAAAAGUAAGAUAGGGAAUCAAACCAAGUGUCUACCAAGCUGUCCUCAAACUUGAAGACCAAACACUAGGAAGAGCAACUUCUCCUUGAUGAAAGAAGAUUAACUAGAUGUACAAUGGAGGGAGCACUUCCUCCUUGCCCUAAGCCGCACUUAGUCAAGCUAAGAAGUUUUACAAUCACUCAGAAAACCCUCAACAAAGCUACACUAAAGAUUCUUUCAACCACAAAAGAAAUGCUCAACAGAAAUUCACACCACUUUAAAACAAAUCUGCUUUGGAGACUAUUUUCUAGCUAAAAUAUCUCUUGAGAACUUGUAAACAAAGUGUGCAAAAGUCCCUACUUCGUUCAGACCAGUUUGAUUUUAAAGGGAACCAGAAAUGGGCUUCAUCAAUGCUUCCAACGGAUAGAAGGCAGCUGAAGAGUCAACUAGCCGUUGGGGCUGUCGGACGUCCGACGAUCGAAUCAUCGUCCGAACCAAUCGUCCGAUGAUAGCCAAGUUGAGGUUCGGACGUCCGAUGAGUUUUUUUGUCGUCCGACAGCACAGCGUCCGACCUUGGGCCGAGAGCUAGCAAGUUAUCUUGGAAUUUUUCGGACGUCCGAUCUGGUUGAUAUGCGUCCGAGGUGUGCGUCCGAUCCUUCCGGACGUCCGAUGCUCCCAUAUGAGCGUCCGACAGAGCUUCCUUCCUGAUGUUCUUCAUCCUUUCGGACGUCCGACAGAUUCCUUUCGGCCGUCCGACCUGAUUGUCCUGUUUUUGCUUCACAUUUUGGUUGUUUUGCUUUUGAUGACAUAUUCGAACCUGAUUCUUGGAUAGACAAAAACACUUGUUUUCGAAGAAGGUUAGAUAAACAUUUCAAAGUGCCAAGAAUGACACACAAGACACACUUAAAAGACAGUAUCUUUGAUCGGAACAAAACAAUUACUAAAUUCAUUUAUAUUAUUUCAAUCUUGUUUGCCACAUCCAAAGCAUCGUAGACUGGAGUCAAUCAGACAUAUGCUUUCCUUGUUCCAUCAGGCCUGAUCAAAGUGUUCACUUUCUUGGUCUGUAUAAACGAACUUUUGUGAUCAUCAAAACCAAGAAUAACAUUCUCCCCCUUUUUGAUGAUGACAAAACAAAAGUUUGAAAUGAAAUUUGAUGAUUGCAAUGAAAACUCCCCCUUUCAAAAUAGACAAGAACUCCCCCUGCCUUAGUGAAUCAUAAAAAGUUUGAAAACCUCCCCCUCACUAGACUGCCCAACCGAGUUUAGACAAUUAUCCAAAAACAUGACAAUUAAGCAACUCACAACCAACAUAUCACCAAUUCAAUCCAUCAGCAAAAUCCAAAUUUAAUUAAACCAUCAAUCAAUUCAACAUAUCCAACAUCAUCAAAUCCUCAUCAAAUCCAACAUAUCAAUCAAUUAGUAUAUCAUUUCCAUUCUCCCCCUUUUUGUCAUCACAAAGGGCAACCAAUUACAUCAACACAUCAACACAUCCACAAAUACAUUCAUCAAUGAAAACCAAAAAAAAUUCAUUAUAUUCACACAAUUAGAAUAGACAAACAAACAUCCAUCAAGACAGUACUUAAACAUCCAUCAAAACAGAACUUAAACAUUCAUCAAAAACAUACCAAAAGAAACUUAAAAUAUCCAUUACAUUACAUAUUCAUUGUUGAAUACCACAAACACAUAAACGAGACAGACAACAUGCAAAUGUCCUAAAUGAUGAACUAAGUGGAUCCAGGUGUCCUCCGAGAGAGCUGAUAUUGGUCAAGAUCCUCCUCUUCAGUCUCUUCAUCAUCUUCAGCAGCCUCUUCAACUGGUGCCUUGCCUUUAUCUAAUGUAGAGGUGCCAUGAGGAGUCACAGGGGUUGAAGAACCAGGAUCCGGAAUUGAUGAACUUGGAUCAGUGGGGUGUGACUCUUUGUCAUGGGAAACUUCCUCAACCACAGGUGGAGGAAAAAGAAGAUUCUUUUUGUCAAGAAAGGCAGUUUGUUGCUCAGAAGACAUGGUGAGCAUGAGACCAUGUUCUAGAAGAAGAACAUGCUGUUUGAGUUCUUGAAGAAGCUCAAUUACUUCAUUACUGGAAGAGGAAGAUGCUUUAGUGGCAGACUUUCUAGGGUGAAUGGGAGUGAGUGAAAUGGGUGAAGGAUCAUGUACAGUCUUAGACCUCUGUUCACUAGAUGAUGCCCCCUUAUAUGCCCACAGAUUAUCUUUAAAAACAAGAUUUUUUCUUUCAAAAUAUGCUUUGGUAAAGGCAUAAGAAGAUGCUUCUUUGGGACAAACACCUAGAAUUGGAACUUUGUAAAACUCAAAAAUCUUUUGAAGAAACUUUCCAUAGGAUAGUUUUCUUCGAGAGUCAGUAGCAUAGCGAAGUAAAAACUUGCACAUAACAAAACCAAAAUCAAUACGAAUUUUUUCUCGAAAACAAUAAAAUAGAUACAACUCCAUUUUGUUUGCAUCAGUUCUGUGCCCAUCAGUGGGCACAAGCAGGUUUGAAAUGAUAGAAAAAGCAAUUAAAUUCACAGGGGCCAGAUCAUUCAACUUAGCAUCAGCAGGUGAGGAAAAACUUCUUUUGAAAUAGGUUAACAUUUUUGUCCCAUCAAAAUGAUUUGCAGCAGUAGGAAGCUCUUCAUAGGAAAAGAAAUUAGCAACCUUAUCUUUGCAUAAACGUUCAAUGGUAGUAUUUAAAAUGGAAUUCACAACAUCAGAAUCAAAGAUUAUGUCUACCCCAUUUACCCUAGACAUGAUCUCAGUUUGGUCAGUUCCUUUCCUAAGAUUGGCAAAAAAUUGAUGCAGCAUAUCAGGAUAGUAGACAUUGGGCAUGGAAAUCAGAUGUGACCAUUUCUGGAAAUCAAAUAGACUCAGAAUGGACUCUAACCCUAUGGAGCGAAAUUCAGAGGGGUUUACAGUUCUUUGAGGGAUGACACCCUUCUGGGAUAUCCAGGCGUAUUUGUCUUUCGCAGCAUCAUCAAAGAAUGGAGGGAGAGGGACUGAUUUAGGAGGCGGUUGAGAAGAGGUCCCCUGUCCAGAUUCUGGUUGAGAAGUGGGUUGUGGAGUAGGCCGUGACAUUUGACCCUUGAUAGCUCCCCUUUUGAAGCGUUUGGAUGUCCGUUUGACAGUGGGAAGAUCCUCAUCCACAUCCCUGAGUGGAUGCUUGCGUCCGGCAGUAACUUUUCCUCCCCUUAGAUUCACCAUUGCGCGAAAUGUGUGGAGUGAAGAAUGCAAAUGAUGCACACAGCAGUAGGGAAGUGAAUCGAACAAAAAUUUUGGAACAAACGACCUUGUACAAGAUUUGACAGAGCGGUUAUGAGAAGGUAGGGUUUUGAGGAAAAUUUGGGAAUGUGCGAAGUGAUAGAUGAUUCUGUGAAAUGAUCAGGAAAAAUGACUUGCAAUUGACCAGGAACUGUUUUGGUUGAGUCAAUUUGGGAAUGGGAGCUUCAAAAUGGUACGAAUUUGGGAGUGAGGGAAGGGAGAGUUUUCGUCCGAUAGAAAAUAGAAUAGGAAGAGUCUGAGGCAAUUGAGGAAGAAAGUUGUUUUUUAAAAAAUGAGCCGUUGCUCUGUCGGACGGCCGAACGAAGUUGUGCGUCCGACAGAUGCGUCCGAACAAGCGCAAUCUGGAAAAUGGCUGAAGAACAUCAUCGGACGUCCGUUCAUCUUCUUUCGGACGUCCGAAGACCCAAAGAAAAUUAAGAUGAUUUUUCGAUUAUUCCUAAUUUUGAUCUUAGAUGAAUGAACUGUUCUAAUGGCAAAGCUUUCGUAAAAAUAUCAGCAAAUUGAUCUUUAGAACAAACAUAAUUUACACAUAUUUCACCUUUUUGAACAAGAUCACGAAUAAAGUGAUGCUUUAUAUCUAUGUGCUUUGUCCUAGAAUGAUGAAUAGGAUUUUUGGUCAAAUUGAUAGCACUAGUAUUAUCACAGAAUACAGGCAUGCAGUCAUACAACAAUCCAAAAUCAUUCAAAGUGUGCUUCAUCCAUAGAAGUUGAGCACAACAUGCACUAGCGGCAAUAUAUUCCGCUUCGGUGGUAGACAAAGAGAUUGCACAUUGUUUCUUGCUAAACCAAGAGACUAAACAAUUUUCAAGAAAAUGACAAGUUCCACUCGUACUCUUUCUAUCCACAUGACAACCUCCAAAAUCAGCAUCCGAAUAACCAUAUAGAGCAAACUCAUUAGAUCUAGCAUACCAAAGACCAUAGUCCAAUGUACCUUUCAAAUACCUAAAAAUUCUUUUUACAGCAUUCAAAUGUGAUUCUUUUGGACAAGAUUGAAAUCUAGCACACAAGCAAACAGCAAACAUAAUAUCAGGUCUACUUGCGGUUAAAUAAAGUAGGCUUCCGAUCAUACCUCUAUAAUGCUUUUCAUCCACAUGAUUACCUUCUUCAUCUUUGUCAAGCUUUGUAGAAGUGCACAUUGGAGUUCCAACUUGUUUUGAGUCCUCCAUGCCAAACCUUUUCAGCAAUUCCUUGGUAUAUUUUGCUUGAUUUAUAAAAAUUCCCUCAAGAGCUUGAUGUAUUUGAAGUCCAAGGAAGAAAUUUAAUUCUCCCAUCAUACUCAUUUCAAAUUCACUUUGCAUAGUGGUGGAAAACUCCUUACAUAGAUACUCAUUAGUAGCACCAAAAAUAAUAUCAUCAACAUAUAUUUGCACAAUAAGAAGGUCAUUCAACACUUGCUUAGUAAAAAGUGUGGUGUCCACAACACCCCUUUUGAAACCAUUUUCAAUCAGAAAACCACUUAGUCUUUCAUACCAAGCUCUAGGAGCCUGUUUUAGACCAUAUAAAGCUUUAGAUAGUUUAAACACAUGACUUGGAAAUUUUGUAUUUUCAAAACCGGGGGGUUAAUCCACAUAUACUUCUUGAUCAAUAAAACCAUUUAAAAAGGCACUUUUAACAUCCAUUUGAAACAAUUUGAAGCCUUUGAAGCAAGCAAAAGCAAGUAGCAUUCUAAUAGAUUCUAAUCUAGCUACGGGAGCAAAUGUUUCAUCAAAAUCGAUUCCUUCUUCUUGUGCAUAUCCUUUAGCAACUAAUCUGGCUUUAUUUCUUACAACAACACCUUUAUCAUCCAACUUAUUUCUAAAUAUCCACUUUGUGCCAAUGAUAGGUUGAUUUUGAGGUCUAUCAACAAGUGUCCAAACUUCAUUUCUCUCAAAUUGAUUGAGUUCCUCUUGCAUAGCCAAAAUCUAGUUUUCAUCCUUUAAGGCAUCAUUGAUAUUUUUGGGUUCAAAAAGAGAAACUAAAGCAAAAUUGCCAAUCAAUUUUCUAGAUGAGGAACGAGUGUUUACCUUCUCGGAUGGAUCACCAAUUAUCAGUUCUUUUGGAUGAUUUUGGCUGAAUUUCCAAGCCUUGGGAAGAUCUUUGAGUGGAUCAUCAUUUUUGUCUUCAUCUUCCUCUUCUUGAUCAUUAUGAACUUCAUUUUCCAUUUCAGUUGCUGCUGGUUUAGAACUUCCUUCAUUUCCAAUUGAUAACUUUUCCAUUCCUUCUCGAACACCUACAUCAUCAUCCUCACACGAACUUUUGGAAUUAUCAUCAUUGGUUUCAUCAAAAGUUAUAUGUAUAGCUUCUUCAAUCACAAGAGUCCUUCUAUUAAAAACUCUAUAUCCUCUUUUAUUCUCACAAUACCCCAAAAAUAUUCCUUCAUCAGAUUUUUUAUCAAACUUAUCAAGAUGUUCCUUUAGAUUCAAAAUAAAGCAUUUACAACCAAAUACUUUGAAAUAACCAACCGUAGGUUUCUUAUCAAAAAACAGCUCAUAAGGGGUUUUCUUUAAGAUAGGCCUCAAGAGAAUUCUAUUCAUCACAUAACAUGCAGUGUUUACUGCUUCAGCCCAAAGAUAUUUAGGCAACCUACAUUCAUUCAACAUAGUUCUAGCAGCCUCUUGGAGAGUCCUAUUUUUCCUUUCUACAACACUAUUUUGCUGUGGAGUCCUUGCAAUAGAGAACUCAUGUGUUAUACCAUUAUGAUCACAAAAUUCUGGAAAACCACAAUACUUGAAUUCAGUCCCAUUAUCACUUCUAAUCCUAACAACUUUUAACCCAAACAGAUUUUGUACUUUAGCAAACAAUGAAGUAAAAUUCUUGAAGGCAUCAUCUUUAUGAGCAAGAAAUAUCACCCAUGUGUAUCUAGAAUAAUCAUCCACAAUCACAAAACAGUAUUUCUUACCACCCAAGCUAGAGAUUUGAGUAGGGCCAAAUAAGUCAAGAUGCAAGAGUUCUAAGGGUUUUGAAGUAGAUACACACUUCUUUGUUUUAAAAGAAACUUUUGUUUGCUUUCCAAAUUGACAUGCAUCACAUAUUUUAUCCUUUUCAAAACUGAUUUUUGGCAAGCCUCUAACUAGUUCCUUUUUCGAAAUUUCCUUUAGUAAGUCCAUGUUAAAAUGACAAAGUCUUCUAUGCCACAACCAGGAUCUUCAUUUGAAGCUUUAAGACAUUUUAAGCUAGAAGAAUCAACUUUAUCAAGAAUCACAAUAUAUAUGUCAUUAAACCUCUUACCUUUGAACACAACAUUAUAUUUGGAAUCAAGUACAAUGCAUUCAUGCUUUUUAAAUAACACAUACAAGUCUUUAUCACACAAUUGACUAACACUAAGUAAGUUAUAACCUAAGUUAUCAACUAAGAGCACAUUUUGAACAAAUGUUUCACCAUUCUUACCAACAUCACCUAUUCCAAUUGUCUUAGCUUUCACAUCAUCACCAAACGUCACCUUUCCACUUGAUUUUGAUUUCAGCUUUAUGAACAAAGAGGGAUCACCGGUCAUGUGCCUUGAGCAGCCGCUAUCAAUAAACUAUUUGGACUUGUUUGAUCCUUUUUCCUGAAAAGAUAAAGUGUUUGGUACCCCUUUUUAAUUUUUGGGUCCAUAGUAGUUAGCAUUGUAUCUAACUAAUCACAUGCAUAUCAUCCCUUUGUUCAGAUUUCUUUUCACAUAGCAAUUUCCAUUCAAAUGCCCUUUUUGACAACAAAAGUUACACAUAAUGGAAGAGUCCUUAACAUGUACUGGUUUGACAUAUCUCAGUCCACCUCUUCUAUAUGUUGUGAAUCCAUGUGCAAUUCUGUUGUGUGCAAAUGUUCUUUGAAAAGCAGUAAGAUGAGUAGAUGACAUGUUCCUUUUGAAAAAGUCCUGCUUUCUAGCUUUCAAAGAUUCAUCCAAGUUGUCCAUUCUUUUCUUCAAAUCACCAUGUCUUUCCUUCAGCAUUUCACAAGUAUUUGUCUUUCUAACAAGCUCAUUUUGAAUAUCACAUCCAGCUCUUACAAGACAUUCAUUGUCAGUCUUUAGUUGAUUAUUUUGUUGAAAGAGACUUGUAUUUUCUUGAAUGAGGAAAGCAAUUUUCUGUUUUAACUGCUUGUUUUUAUCAUAAGAUUCCUUCAAUGCACUAUGCAGUUUUUCAACAAAGGAUUCAAGAUCAUCAUCUUCAUCAUCAUCACUUUCGGAUUGAGAGUGAGUGGAAGUUACCUCAUUAUUUCCAAUAGCCAUGAAGGCCAUUUGAGCUGAUUCUUCUUCUUCUUCAACUUCCCCUUCGGAGUUGCAUUCAUUCCAAGUAAUCUGAAAGUUGUUGAAUCUUGGCUUUCGAUCAGCUUUUCCAUCUUUCAUCUUCUUCAUGGGGCAUUCAUUUGCAUAGUGUCCAAUCUGUCCACAUUCGAAGCAUUUGUCCAACUGUUUCUUGUUGAAAUCUUGUUUUCCUUUGUACUUUGCGAUAGAUGGCUGAUUCUGGAAUUGAUUGCUAGGUUCUCCCCUUCUAAACUUUCUUUUAUUCAAGAUUCUUUUGAAGCUUCUGGUGAUAAGAGCAAGAUCAUUAUCAUCACCAUCCGAGUCUUCAUCAUCCAGGUGAGCUGGAUCAUCUUCACCUUGAGUAGUCUUUAGAGCAAUGUUUCUCUUUGCUCUAUCAUCCUCUUCCUCCUGCACUUUAGAUUUCAGUUUCAACUCAUAAGAGGUUAGUGAGUUAAUGAUAGAUUCCAUAGGCACAGAACUUAAAUCCUUAGCCUCCUCUAUUGCAGUCAAUUUAUUUUCCCAUUCUUUGCCCAAUGCAUUGAGAAUUUUCCUGUUCUUCUCUCCCAAGGUGUACUCUUUGCCCAAGGCUUCGAGAUCUUUGAUCAAGUCAGUGAACCUGCAAUACAUUUUGUCAAUAUCCUCAAGAGGUUCAAUUUUAAAUGAUUCAUAUUUUGUGACCAAGAUAGCCUUUUUCUGUUCCUUCACGUUGUCACCACCCUCAUGGAUUUCUCUUAGUUUAUCCUACAUUUCUUUGGCCGAUUUGCAGCCUUUUACUCUAAUUGAUUCAUUUGAAUCUAGGGCACUAUAAAGAACAUUCAUGGCCUUGGCAUUCAAUGUGAGGUUAGUUCUAUCUUGAGCAUUCAUUUCAGCUCUCGUUUUUUGCCGAAGCAACCCUGUAUCUGCAUCAAGAAAGUUAGCUUCAUGCGGUCUUUCACUCACAAUAAAUCAUAAUUCAAUAUCAAUAGAUUGCAGAAAGAUAAUCAUUCGUUCUUUCCAGCUAACAUAGUUGGAGCCACUGAACAUAGGAGGCCUAGUAACAGAUUGCCCCUCAACAAACAUAGCAUGACUGGUUGUCAUCUUUACUCCAAGCCGUUAGAGCUUAAUCUCAAGGAGACCAAGCUCUGAUACCAAUUGUAAGUCCCACAGACAACCAAGAGGGGGGGUGAAUUGGGUUGAUUAAAAUCUUAACCAAGUUUAUGCACUUUUUCUUUAAUGAAAAUUUACCUUCCUUUUUAGUAAUGAUCAACCAAGUAGAUUAGAAGACAAUAGCAAUAUUGAUCAGAGAAGCAAGUAUAAAUAAGCAAUGAAGAUUUUAUUAAACAGAAAAGUAAGAUAGGGAAUCAAACCAAGUGUCUACCAAGCUGUCCUCAAACUUGAAGACCAAACACUAGGAAGAGCAACUUCUCCUUGAUGAAAGAAGAUCAACUAGAUGUACAAUGGAGGGAGCACUUCCUCCUUGCCCUAAGCCGCACUUAGUCAAGCUAAGAAGUUUUACAAUCACUCAGAAAACCCUCAACAAAGCUACACUAAAGAUCCUUUCAAUCACAAAAGAAAUGCUCACCAGAAAUUCACACCACUUUAAAACAAAUCUAGCUUUGGAGACUAUUUUCUAGCUAAAAUAUCUCUUGAGAUCUUGUAAACAAAGUGUGCUAAAGUUCCUACUUCGUUCAGACCAGUUUGAUUUUAAAGGGAACCAGAAAUGGGCUUCAUCAAUGCUUCCAACGGAUAGAAGGCAGCUGAAGAGUCAACUAGCCGUUGGGGCUGUCGGACGUCCGACGAUCGAAUCAUCGUCCGAACCAAUCGUCCGAUGAUAGCCAAGUUGAGGUUCGGACGUCCGAUGAGUUUUUUGUCGUCCGACAGCACAGCGUCCGACCUUGGGCCGAGAGCUAGCAAGUUAUCUUGGAAUUUUUCGGACGUCCGAUCUGGUUGAUAUGCGUCCGAGGUGUGCGUCCGAUCCUUCCGGACGUCCGAUGCUCCCAUAUGAGCGUCCGACAGAGCUUCCUUCCCGAUGUUCUUCAUCCUUUCGGACGUCCGACAGAUUCCUUUCGACCGUCCGACCUGAUUGUCCUGUUUUUGCUUCACAUUUUGGUUGUUUUGCUUUUGAUGACAUAUUCGAACCUGAUUCUUGGAUAGACAAAAACACUUAUUUUCGAAGAAGGUUAGAUAAACAUUUCAAAGUGCCAAGAAUGACACACAAGACACACUUAAAAGACAGUAUCUUUGAUCGGAACAAAACAAUUACUAAAUUCAUUUAUAUUAUUUCAAUCUUGUUUGCCACAUCCAAAGCAUCGUAGACUGGAGUCAAUCAGACAUAUGCUUUCCUUGUUCCAUCAGGCCUGAUCAAAGUGUUUACUUUAUUGGUCUGUAUAAACGAACUUUUGUGAUCAUCAAAACCAAGAAUAACAAGGUCGGAUAGGGAUAGAGCCUUAGCUAACCGUUUUGGAUGUAGGGUUAGCUACGUGUAAAUCUCUUUUGAUAGGCCUAUCCUCAGGUGAAUCUUUUGUGUACGUACGUGCUUUGGCCGUACUUGACUGAGUGCUUGUAUAUAUAUGUUUGGCUUGUAUAUAUGUGUGCUUGUGACCCUGUGUGAAAUGUAUCAAUAUGUGUUAUGUGAAACUUUAUGUGUUACUUACCUGCUUUAUUACUGCUUUGGUUUAGUACUUUUGCCUAGACCGAGUGAAUUUAUGGAAGGAACACGAAGUGGUUGGGGACGCGGGCGCGGAACUAGACAAACCGCACCGGUUAGGGAAACGGGGGAAUCCUCUACUGGACCUAACCCUGGACCGCAAUUAGACCCCAAUGUGCAAAUCGCUGCUGCUAUGCAGCAAAUGACCAACCUACUCGCACAAGUAGUGCAACAACAGGGCCAAAACCCAAACCCUAACCCUGGAAACCCUGGCCAUCAUGUCGAGAGUGAAGAUAGAGCGCUAGAACGGUUUCAAAAGUUUUCUCCGCCAAAGUUUAUUGGGGGACCCGACCCUGAUGUGGCUGAGAAAUGGCUUGAGAAAAUGGUUGAUAUAUUCGCGGCCCUACACUACCCGGACGAACGGCAGGUCACUUUUGCCGUGUUUCAACUUGAAGGGGCUGCCCGUUCCUGGUGGAACGUAAUUAGACAGAAAUGGGAAUGGGAGCAGACACCGAGGACUUGGGUGAACUUCAUCCGGGAAUUUAAUGCCAAGUUUUUCCCUCCCUUAGUCCAGGAGAGGAAGGAAGACGAGUUUAUCCGGCUCCGGCAAGGGGCUCAGACGGUGGCGGAGUACGAGAGCCAGUUUACCCGCCUGUCCAAAUUCGCGCCUGAACUGAUCAUGACUGAGCAACGACGGGUGAGGCGUUUCAUUCAGGGUUUGAAUGUGGAGAUCCAGAAAGACCUCGCGGCGGCUCAAAUCACUACAUUUAGCGAGGCAAUGGAGAAGGCCCAACGGGUUGAGAGUGCACGGCUUCAGGUCCGAAACUUCCAGGCUAAAAAGCGUGGUUUUCCUGGGAGUACAUCUGGACAGGGUGAGAAGAGCACUCCCUCUAAGUUUGGACGAGGCACGGGAGGUGGUCGACAAUCUGGAUCAGGCAGAGGGACUCCGUUUAGGGGCGGCCAAGCUGGGCGAGGACAAAGGGGAAACGCUCGGAGUGGUUCGGCUUUGGCACCUCGCGGUCCCUGUGGGCACUGUGGGAAAGCAAACCACACCGAAGAUGAUUGCUGGAGGAAACUGGGUAAGUGCCUGCGGUGUGGAAGUGCGGACCAUCAACUGGCUACAUGCCCGGUCCUGAAACAAGACGGAAAGGGAAGUCAGCUACCGUCGAGGACCAAUACUGGACCAGCCAAGGGAGACGGAUCGAAACCGAAGGUGCCAGCUAGGGUGUAUUCCUUAGAGCCCCAUCAGGUCCCAGAGUCUUCCGAGGUGGUGAAAGGUACGAUCCCUAUUUUCCACCGCUUUGCCAAAGUUUUAAUUGAUCCUGGUGCCACUCAUUCGUUUGUUAACCCUGAUUUCAUGUGUGGCAUCGAUAUAAAACCUGCUAGCUUACCAUAUGACCUAGAGGUCAGUACACCUACGGGGAAUCAACGUUUGGUGACUAGUAUGGUUUAUAAGGAUUGCGAUGUAUGGGUAGGUGAAAGGAGGUUUUUAGGGGACUUGAUUAGCUUAUCCAUUAAGGGGUACGACGUAAUUCUGGGUAUGGACUGGUUAGCCAAAUAUAACGCCCAACUGGACUGUAAAACGAAAAUAGUUGAAUUUCGCAUUCCUGGCGAGGCAACCUUAAGGUUAGAUAUAAGGGGUAGGUUAGCCUCAUCUGCUCUUAUUUCGGGCAUUCGAGCUAGGAAAUUGAUAAGUAGAGGGGCGCAAGGAUUUUUGGCCUUCUUAAUUAAUACCCCUACGGAUAAGUUAAAGGUAGAAGAUGUGACCAUAGUGAGGGACUUUCCGGAUGUUUUUCCUGACGAGUUAGUAGCCCUACCGCCGGAAAGAGAGAUAGAAUUUCGAAUUGACCUUUUACCUGGAACUGCACCUAUCUCAAAAACCCCUUAUCGAAUGGCGCCUGCAGAACUUAAGGAGCUUAAGUUGCAAUUGCAAGAUCUGUUGGAGCGCGGUUUCAUUCACGAGAGUGAGUCUCCUUGGGGAGCUCCUGUUCUAUUUGUGAAGAAAAAGGAUGGAACCUUGAGAAUGUGCAUUGACUAUCGGGGUCUAAAUAAUGUAACGAUCAAGAAUAAGUAUCCACUGCCCCACAUCGACGAAUUGUUCGACCAGUUGCAAGGAGCAGUGGUCUUCUCGAAAUUGGACCUCCGGCAGGGAUACUAUCAAUUGUUGAUUAAGAAGGAGGAUAUUCCGAAAACUGUCUUCAACUCGAGAUACGGACAUUACGAGUUCGCCGUUAUGCCCUUUGGACUGACUAAUGCUCCCGCCGCCUUCAUGGACUUAAUGCAUAGGGUUUUUAAACCCUACCGGACCGAUUUGUCGUUGUGUUCAUUGAUGACAUUUUGGUCUACUCUAAGACACGUGAGGAGCAUGAGGAGCAUUUGAGAAUGGUGUUGCAGACAUUGAGGGAACAUCAACUAUACGCCAAGUUUAGCAAAUGCGAGUUCUGGUUGGAGAAAGUAGCGUUUCUAGGGCAUGUGAUCUCUCACGAAGGUAUCUCGGUGG